GGAGUUCUAAAUUUAAUAAUUGAAAUUGUCAGUGGAACCAGUGGACAAGAGUUGGUUUGUGGUUGACAAACUUAUCCGUUUGAUCUUUACUUGAACAGUUCCAGUGUGUGGAUGGGUACUGAUGAAGUGUGCGCAUUUAUUUUGAGAAGCCUGCUUGUUCGCAUAGAUUUUAACGACAUGAACAUUGUGGUAAGGUUAGAGAGUAAUGCGAAUGUAGGAGCUUAUAUUAGAAAUGACACAAACACGUAAAUAGAAGUAAUCUAUAUAUGAUAUUACUCAUGGACUACAAGCAAAGAAGUACAAUACAUGGAGUAAGUGAUGAAAUGAGCAUUCCUCACUACUACUGCUUGACUGAUGGAACAUGAUGCACGAGAUAGCAUAAGUAGUAGUAGGAAGCAGCUCUUAUUUGUGGCGUCGGUAUACAUCAUACUAGGUAGAUGGUUCAAUUGGCAUGGAUGGGUGGUGGAGCCUUGAAGUGCUUGUGAUGGGGAGCCCACGGCUUCUUCUCAGGAGUUGGUGGCUUCUUGUAUGGAGUUGAUGGAGGUGUUUCUACUGGAGGGUGGCCAGGGUAGUGACCCUGGGGUGGUGAAGGUUCUUUUGUCGGUGGUGGCCUCACUAUUAUUGGCGGUAGAGUUGGUGGCUUGGGCGUUGGCGGUGGUCUCACUACUCUUGGGGGUAGAGUUGGUGUCUUGUGUUUUGGUGGUGGAGGUGGCUUAACAGGAGUUGGUGGCUUGUAUUCUGGGGGUGGUUUCUCCACCGGAGGUGGCUUAUAAACUGGAGUUGGUGGCUUGUAUUCUGGGGGUGGCUUCUCCACUGGUGGUGGCCUGUAAACAGGGGUUGGUGGCUUAUAUUCUGGGGGAGGCUUCUCCACUGGAGGCGACUUAUAAACAGGGGUUGGUGGCUUGUAUUCCGGGGGUGGCUUCUCUACGGGAGGUGGCCUGUAAACAGGGGUUGGUGGCUUCUCCACCGGAGGUGGCUUAUAAACGGGGGUUGGUGGCUUGUAUUCUGGGGGUGGUUUCCCCAGUGGUGGAGACUUGUAAACAGGAAGAGGUGGUUUGUGCUCAUAUGGGGGUGGCUUGUGGUCAUUAGCAAGUGAGGGAGUGGUGAGGACCACCAAUCCAAGGAACAACACGAGUGAGCAAGCAGAAGACAUGUUUGGGCUCUGGUGAUGCACAAGUAGAAGAAAUGGGAACCAUUUAUAAUGCUUCGAGACCUUGGUUAGCACCAAAAUAUGUCAAAAUCUUGAUUACUUCAUUUCAUACAUAGAUUUAAAAUUAUUUCAAUCAACCAUGAUCCUUAAUUUUCUGGGUGGUCCAUAAAUGUAAUGGGGUCAAUUUGGGACCUAACAAGCUGAGAAGUUUGACAAUGCUGCAAGGCUUCAUCCGAAAGUCCGGGGAAGAAUAUUAGGAGUUACACUCCGUUUCCUUUUUUGGGUGCAUUUUUCUCCUUUAACAUUCUAUUCCCUUUUACAUUAGCAUUUGAUCUUAGCUCAUUUCAAGUACAAGUUUCUUGAACCCUAUACCAUUGUCAAAGUUGAGUAACCAUCUCUACUUUGCUCAAGAAACAUAAAAGACAAUGACAAUAAAGAAAAAGGAGAGAGACCAUACGUGACUUGGUUUAUAGGUGGCUUUGUGUUGACAUUUGAGUAUGGAAGCCGACAUGCAUCUUAGCUUCGAUUUUAAUUAAAUUUGUACAUUAGUGUCUGUGUCAUUCAUUUUGGUAUAAAAGGUCUCUUGAUUUCGUAAGUUUGGUAAGAACCGUUGAAAAUAGCAGUAGCAGCACAUGGUCCACUUUCUUUCACAAAAUAAUUUUAAAAGUUUAGAAGCAUAGGAGGUAACAUUAGUGGCCUUGUGGCUCAGCCACGAGUACUAUGUGGUGCUCGAGAAAUUGAGUUUAAUUUCCUUCCGAUAGUUCAUGAUAAGGUCCGUCACUGUCCUGAGACAGAUUGCGUUUUUUCUUUUUUCCUUUUUUAGUGUUUUAUUGACUAGCUAGGUGUGACUUUUCCUACUUUAAGGCACGAGGCAGAAAAGAAACUGGGAUUUAGUGCUUAAGAAGGCAAAUUUAAUUCGAUUUGGAUCUAAAAUUUGCCAGCAACAUGAGAUUUUCCAGCCUAUCGUUGCUCCACAUAUAGACAAGGCACUUGUAGAAGUGGCUUGUUUGUAGCCAUUCCCGAUAUUUGGACUCACUUGAUUCACCGGACACUUUGAUAAAAUUUAAUAUUUAUUAUUUAAUAAUUUAAAUUGAUUUAAAAUUAAAUUAUACCGAAGUUGUGAUUUAAAAAUUAUUAUUUAAUUCUUACUUUUAAAUAUGAAGAUUAUUUGAUAAAAAUAAUUUAAAAUUUAUUAUAAAUUAUCAAAUUAACAUAUUUAUCCUUAUAAAUUAUAAUUAAAACAGAAAAGGUCAAAUGAUUUGAGUAUCCAUAGAUGUGGUAAAAUAAUAAAAAAGAUUAUAAAAACAAUUAUGAUAAAUAAAGAUAAAAAGUAAAAUGAAUAUGUGAAUUUAAAGAAUAAAUUAAUUAUUUUUAUUUAUUACUUAAAAUUAUUUUUGACUUUAAAUUAUAUUAUUAAAUUAUUUUACCAAACAUACUUAAUUUAGUUAAUAAUUUAAAUUUAAUUUAAGUUAUUAAAUUGAUUCACCAAAUACCCACUUAAUCAAAGACUGAAGUAUACAUUAUUUGGCCAAAUGCAGCUAUUGAAAUUUAACUUUUUCCAAACUUAUUCAUUUUGUGGAAAUAUUUUUAGAAAUGAUUUUAAAAAUGCACUAUUCUGUGUGUUGAUUUUAUAUUUUGGCAUUAAUCCAACAUAGAAAACGGUUCUUAUUUUCGCUGUUAAAUAGGUACCAGAUCCUUAAUUAGUGCCGUGAAUCCGGCAGCUUCCAAUGAGUAAUUUGGACUUGGGUAUUGACAAUGUGUGGCCAUGCUUCUACUAUUUUAUUAUUCUUGAAACAUAUAUGAUAUAUUGGACUUUAUACAGGGAAAAAAAAAAAAAAAAGUCUUCACCAAAAAUGAUUCCUCCUAAAAAAUAGACUCCACAAACUAGGUUUAACAGGAAAAUGAUUCUAAUCUAGUAGUUUCCAGCCACAUGAGCAUUUACGUAACAAUAGUAUAGUUGAUAACGACUUUUAUUUUAUUUAUUUUUAAAUAGUUAAAGGGAUAAUUUUUGAGCUUAAAUUUUAUUUUUUUAUUUAGAAACAUUUUACUUUAUUUUUUAAUCAUAAUUCUAUUAUAUUAAUGUUUUAUUUUCUAUUUUUUAAUAUAUAAGGAGAUACUAAAUUUAUGUGAUUAUUUUUUAAAAAUUUAGUAUAUGAAAUUAAAUAAUUGGAUAUAUAUACAUAUAUCAUAUAAUGUUUUUUAAGUGUGAUUUUUGAACUUUUUAGUCAUUUUAUAAGUUUAAGCUUUUGAUUUUUUUUUUUAAACUUUGGUAUUUUUUAUUUUAUAUAAAACUAUUUUGAUUUAAUUUUAUUAAAAAAUAUUGGUAUUAUAAAUUAUUGUAUUAAUUAUUUUUUUAUAUUAUAAUGUAACUGGUAUAUACUAAAAAAUGUAUGCAAGUUCAAUUUAAGUUUCAAAUUAAAAAAUUUCAUUUAAAUAUUUAAUAACUUGUUCAUAAUAAAAAAUUAAACAACAUAAUACAAAUGAAAAGAAACAUAAAAGAAAAAGGAAAAAAUGGUCCUCUCUGUGUGUCACAUUACUAGGUCAUCCUCUUUUUCUAUGACCCUUACAAUAGAAUGGCAUAUUUGUCAAAUCUACUUAUGAAAGUUGGAAUGUUUCUACAUGUGUAGGGUCCAUUGGAACUAAUGGAGGAAAGGCUUAACGUCUAUGUAAAUCACAACGUUGCCUAGGUGGGCAUAGAUCUAGUUGUGUAACAUGAGAUGGUGUGAGAGUACAAUAUAUGCAUUGUAGUCUCUAUGGGAAGAGAGAUAGGUAAUGGUAGGGUGGUAGACGGUAGGGUGAUCUCUAAUAUAAUGACAUUUGAUGUGGUGGCUUCUAAGAGAGGAGAUAUAAGAGAUGGUAGAAUGACAUUUGGUGUAAUGGUCUCUAGUGCAAUGACAUGUGAUAUGGUGACCUAUAAAGAAGAGAUAUAGGUGAUGGUGAAGUGGUAUGUGGUGUAGUGACCUUUGAGAUAGAAAAUAGAGGUAAUGGUAGGUUGGCAGGUGGAGUGGUCUUUGGUGUAGUGACAUCAAUUAUAAAUGUCUCCAAGGGAGGAAAUAAAGGUGAUGGUAGGUAGUAAAUGUUGAGGUGGUCUUUGAUAUGUUAUGCUCUAAGAGAGAAGGUAUAGGUAAUGAUAAUAGGGAAUUUGACAUAGUGGUGUUGGAAAUAAAAAGUGAAAGUGACCGUAGAGGUGAAAGGGCAAGUGUAAAAGCCUCAAGUACGAAUGGAGUAAUUAAUGUGGAUGGUGCUAACAUAGUCUUAGGUGGAUACACAAAUAGUCAUAGUCAUCAACUAGCUUGCCCACCAUCUGUCUUUCUGCUAGUGAUAGGUUACAUCUUAAUAGUAAUGGCCAACAUAAGUGGUGUGGAUCCGAUUUUUUUACGUGUGUCCCCACUCAAUCGACAAGACUUAUUUUUUAUUAGUGAAAAAUUAAUUUUGGAAAAGUUGGAGUCACCACUUAUUUUAUUUUAUUUUAAAAAGGAAAGUAAAACAAGAAAGAGAACUCUAAAGAAGUGACUUCAUAGUUUUGGAAAAGUUAGUCUUAAAAAAUCCAAGUCUUGGUCCGGAGAUCAGGUUACUUAUUGGGAAGAUACCUCUAAGAGGUAAUACCCCUCUAAACCCUAAAGAAGUCUCUAAUGACUAAGUUGAGGAGAAUGUGGUAAUUAAUUAAUUGAUUGAGGGUACCUAGGUAGACUAAGGUGAUUUCAGAAUUAACAUACCAAGCUAGAAAGUCCAAUCAUGAUCAUAAAAGAGAGUCAAAGUAUGUACCUGAACUGCUUCUCAAACGCUAUCAUAAAACAUCAAAGUUAGUAUAGAAAUAUAACACAUAAUAUUUGUUUUAUCCAAGCAAAUAAAGCAUACAUCUAAGCACCCAAGAAUCACAUCAAGUAUGGAUAUAGUCAUCAAUAGCAUACGUGUCCAUAGAACUAUCGAAAGUAAAUGUGGAGGAGCGUAUCUGGACAACAUAGAUAACUUAUAAUGUGCUUCCACAAGACAUGGGGGUUAGAUAAAAGUUAUAAUAAUAAUUAGUAAAUGAAAGAAUUCUAGCAUGUUUGGUAUCUAAAUAACAUAGCAAAAAUGAACAAGAGUACACGAAAACAUCAAUUAUCACACGAGUCAUAUUGGCUAGUAUUUAAUCAAUAAACCAACAAUAAAUGACUAUAAACAUAUAAAAUGACAUAUUCAAAGAGACCCAAACAUAAAGAGCCUAGAACACAAGCUUACACUAAAUUUAGAAAACUAAAACAUGGAAUUUUAAAAGCAUAAAUUAGCAAACAAAUUGAUGGAAACUAAAUUUAGAUAACUUAAGAAUAUUUUUCUUAUCCUUCAAUUUAAAUCAGUAAGCCAACAAUAAAAAAUUAUAGAAACAUGGAAUAUCAAGAUCAAUGGGAUACCUAAACUAUAAUUUUUAAAAGAAAAUAAACUAAGCAUAAUAUCUACAAAGCAACUAAACUAACAUUUUUUUAAAAAUAAAUUAAACAUGACAUUAAUGGAGUAACCAAACUAAAUUAAAGUAAACUAAAAACAUUUAUGAAUUUUCAAACAUGGAAUCAGCUUUCUUAGUAAAUUAAAAUUAUUAAAAUAAAAUCUAAGCUUAAAAAUGAAUUAAAUACUAACUAAAGCAAAUCUAAAACCAAAUAUUUAACACAUAGGAUCAAUUAUAUUAACAAACUAAAAUUUUAUAAGAACACUUAAACCUAAAGUUGAAUUAAAAACUAACCAAUUUUUAAAACUAGAUCUUUAACCCAUAGGAUCAAUUAUAUUAACAAAUAAAUAAUAAAUAAUAAAUAAAUAAAACUCAAACCUAAAGAUGAACUAGAAAUGUACCAAAGUAAAUUCAAAACAAGAUCUUUAACACAUUAGAUCAAUUAUAUUGACUAACUAAAAAAAAAAAAAAAAAACACUCAAACCUGAAACGAUGUAUUAGAAACUAACCAAAGCAAAUUUAAAAUAGAGUCUUUAACACAUAGGAUCAAUUAUAAUCACUAACUUAAAUUACAAUUUUUGAAACAUGAACUAAUUAGUGUUGGAUUAAUUAAACUAAUUAACUAAAAAAAACUAUAAACUAGAAUACGGUGAAUCAAGAAUUCAAAUCAACAAACAUAAAAUAUGGGUACAAUGAAAUGAAAAUCUAUUAAACUAAUAAGACGGAAAUAUGACAAACUCAUGAACCCACAUUUUGAUCAACUAGGAAAUAGAAAUUAAUAGACCUGUAGCAUGGAUACAAUGAAAUGAGAUCAGUUAAAUUUAUUUGCCGAAAUUCUAAAAAACACAUACACUCAAAUAAGAUCUAAAUCUAAGACCAAGCAAAACUCAAACUUUCUCAAUCUAAUGCAAUGAAUCAAAACUAAAAUUAAAUAGAAAUCAAACCAUUUUUUUUUUAUCUAAUAUAAUAAAUCAAAGCUAAAACUAAACAAAAUCGAAUUUUCUUAAUUUAAUAUGAUGAGUCAAAGCUAAAAUUGAACAAAGUUCAAACCUUUAUAUAAUGGAUCAAAGUUAAAUCUAAAUGAAAUCCAUACUUCCACAAUUUGAUAUAACAAAUCAAAAAUAAAACUAGAUAAAAAAAAAGUCAAAGCCUUUCAACUUGACAUAGUGAAUCCAAACUGAAACGAAACAAAAUUUUAACUUUUCCAAUGAAACCCAAUAUAGAAAAAAUUAGCUUACCUUCUUUAGAAUAUAUGUAUGGGCCAUAAAGAAGUCACCUUGGUGCAUGUGUUCCUCACUUUGACGCCAAUGGACGACUUUCUAUGGUAGCAAAUGGAGAUCCUUUUUGGUGGUAACUUGCGUGUGGAAACCUAUGGUACAACCAAUGUCAUCUUUUAUUGUGCGUGUGGACCAAUUUCUUCUCGAGAACUCAUGUGUGUUGUGCUCAAAAUAUGUUGCCUGUGAGAAUCUAUUGGUAUACCCCACAUAUGGUUUCCUUGAGAGAAUCUGUGGUUGUGUGUGGGCGUUUUCUUCAUGACAGCAUGUGGAUGUUCCCAUCUAUGGUAGAUUGGUUGUGAUGCUUUAGUGCAUGGUCUCCAUAGGAAUAGUGUGUUAUGGAAAUUUGGUUUUUUUAUUGGUGCAUGUUGUCUAGACUUUCCCAUAUGCGUGGACUGUGUGUUCAUGCUUUUCUUUUCGGAUGGUCGCCUGUGUUAAUGUGUGGCGGUGUCUACAAUGAAAGAUACAACCCUUUCUCUCCUUCUGCGUGAUAGAAAAGUCAAUCCCCCAUGGUGCGACUAUGUUCCCUCGUCCUUUUUGAAAAAUUUUGGUGUUUUCCCCCCAAAAAAUCCCCUCCAAAAAUCUAAUUAUAAAUGUCUGCUUUGGCCUAAUGUGUGUGCUACUUUUUUUUUCCUUCUUUUUAUGGUUGUGCGUGCUUUUCUUGAUACGUGGCUUAUUUCUUAAGGAUAUGAUUCGCUCCCAAUUGGUGUCUCAGCUGAUUCAUGUCCUUUCAAUGGUCCCUGACAGUGGUGCCAUUUGAUUCGUGUCCAGCUGGUGUCCCUUGAUUGUGGUCCUCAGAAGGGAGUAAUCAAUAAAAUUUAUAACCUAUUACACCAUGUAUUAGGAUAGCCUUAGCUAGCAUAGCAUAGUGGCUCUAGGGUCGUUUAUUGGGAUGAGUUUUCACUUCACAAUUGAUAUUAAUUCAAGAGCUGAAUUGGUGCCUUUUCAUUUCAAGGUUAGCUUUAAAAGAAAACAUAAUCUUUGGUGGAAAAAGGUUUGGUUUUAAACUAACCAAAAAUAGUAACUGAUUUUACUUACAAAGAAAAGUGUUCUUUGGAGUUUAGAUCACUAGGCUCAGGUUCCUCAUACAAAAAGGAGAGUUCCGAUCAUUUGUUUCUUUUCCUCGCAUUAGAGAAUUAACAUAUAGUUAAUUCUCUAACCGGUGCGGUACAUAUGCUUCCCAUUAAUGGGUUCAAACACUAAAUACCUCUCACUGAUGCACCUUGCAAUGGCUCGUGCCUCUCACCUAGCAUUUAUCAUUCAAGGUGAUCUUUAACCUUGGAUUACCCAUCAAAAGCUCGCAAGAGAUAACUAAAGGAUGUCUCCUUAGAGUCCAAAAGCUUACCAAGUGUUGGUUAUUCUAGAAAAUCCUACCUUCAAACCACCUCCCAAAGGCUCGCAAGAGAUAAACAAGUGCAUCUCAAUGGAUGAAGAUCACUUGCCUUACCAAGUUUUGGCCCAGAUGAUUUAAUGACAUUUUAAGUUAACUAAAAAGAUAAAAACCAUUAACGGGUCACACUUUCUCUUCAUUAAAAACUAAAACAACAAAACUUCCAAUUUAUGCAUGAGGAAACUUACCUGGCUUUCUUCACUUCAAGAGAUGAAGAGCCUAGCCACUCAUCAUUUGAGGAAAAAUCCUCAGAGUUUGAUUUGCUAGAAAUAAAAAUAAUGAGAAAACAAAAAUAUAUAUAUGAAAAACAGAGCAAGUUCUCUGUAAUAUAUUUUUCUUCCUUAUACAAAAGGUUGUCUCUAAGAACAAGUUCCCGAGAUCUAUCUGAUUGUAAAUAAAAUUACAACUAUAUAUAAGAGGUUAUUCACCCCUUUGUUCUUUCUUAAAGACUAAGGAAUCCUAUGAUAGGUGGGUUACAAGGAGAGUUUGGGGAUUUAGACAUCAAAUAUCUAAAGCAAAAUAUCUCAAGAUGUUAGUCGGAAAUAUCAGGAAGCUUCAGGAGAACACCGCGACACUGUAUACUGAGAGAAAAACUCUCCGGGUAAGCUCUAUCAAAGGAUCCAGACAUGUCUGACUGGGAAAGUUGAAACGUCCUUCUCUCCCAUCCGGAUGUGAGAUAUCCGGAGAAAGUGAAAUGUCGGUCGGACAGAAUUCUUUCCCCGGGUGGAAUGAGUUGUGUUGCGCGUCGCAAGGGGGACCGUCUGCGUGUACAAGUUGUAGGGACCCCUCUCCCGGAUGACACCGAGCGCGUAAGGCUAUCCGGAUCAACUCCAUUCGGAUUCCCCAAGAGGACAUGUGGCGUGCUCCCCUAUCAGGACUCCCUUAGGGAGAAGCACACGACACUCGUGAACAUCAUACCCGGACGAUAGCAUGUCCUAUCCGGAUGUGUUGUCCGGAUCAUUGACUAAAGUGAGCAAGCCUUGCUACGUCAUUCGGACAGCUUGCCACAUACCAUGUUCCGUCGCCAUCUGAUGGUGUGUCCGAACGCCUUGUCCGGACAUCUUUUGCUCCUUGCAUUCCGGAUUUGCUUAUGACAAAGGACUUCAAAGCUUCGGUUCUUCAUGUUUCUGAGCUUUCCAUUGCUUUGCCAUGGAUUCCAAAGAACUCUCCUUAAUCACGGAUUGCUUUGGUGAUCAAAAAGUUAUCAAAACACAAAAACUUAACAUAGUUUGAUUAGAAUUGAUUGCAAGGGUUCUUAAUAUGUUAAUUGGGUUAAAAGGUGAUAACUACUACUCAAAAGUGUUUAUAAGAAUUAAUUACAAGCUAUGAAAUAACACUUUUUGAGUAGUAAUCAGGAUACAUCCUAGUUUUUCAUGGAAUUGAUAGUGGGUUGUUGUGCAUGAAUGCCACCAUUUCAACUAUGCUGUUGUUAUUUUUAAAAAAAAUAUGGAUUAUGCGCGAGUGGCAAUUCUCCACUAUGGAAAGUGGAUUGCUCCUUCAACCCAUGCAUGGCUACGUAUUCCUAUGUCUUUCUACUUGUGUUUGAUCCUCCAAAAAAAAUUUCGGUUUAGUGCUAGUAGAUUUUAAGUGGUGGAUCCCCAUUUUUUGAAAAUGAAGUGGCAGCCUCCCAUUUCAAGACAAAAUGGUAGCCUGCCUUUAAUCUUUGGAGAAAAAUCUGUGCAUGACCUUUUUUUUUCCCAAAAAAUCCGUGCAUGGUGUCCUUUAAUAUUUGGAGAAAAAUCUAUGUUGGAUCUUUUCUUUUCUAGAAACAUUUGUGUGGUCUUUUUUGUUAGCCCAAGGGUUCUUCUAAUCAAGUUUUGAUGAUAACAAACCAUGGUUAAGUGACUAAUUGGUUUAAUGAUUAAGAAUCUCAAACAUAAAAUCGAAAAUUCAUCAAAGGACCAAAUGGAUACAAGAUCGAGACGCUUGGAAGACUUGUAAUCAUAGGAAACUAAUGUAAGAUGAAUGCAUGAGUGCACUUAGGAUUUUCACACGUUUCAUGCAACUUAGAAAACCCAGUUUAUUCUUUAAAACUUCAUCCCAGUUUAUUCUUUUUAUGGUUGUGUGUGCUUUCCUUGAUACGUGGCUUAUUUAUUAAGGAUACAUCCCAGUUUUUCAUGGAAUUGACAGUGGGUUGUUGUGUGUGAAUGCCACCAUUUCAACUGUGCUGUUGUUAUUUAAAAAAAAAAAAAAUGGAUUGUGCGCGAGUGGCAAUUCUCCACUAUGGAAAGUGGAUUGCUCCUUCAACCCAUGCAUGGCUACGUAUUCCUAUGUCUUUCUGCUUGUGUGUGAUCCUCCAAAAAAAAUUUUGGUUUAGUGCUAGUAGAUUUUAAGUGGUGGAUCCCCUUUUUUUGAAAACUAAGUGGCAGCCUCCCAUUUCAAAACGAAGUGGUAGCCUGCCUUUAGUCUUUGGAGAAAAAUCUGUGCAUGACUUUUUUUUUCCCAAAAAAUCCAUGCAUGGUGUCCUUUAAUAUUUGGAGAAAAAUCUAUGUGGGAUCUUUUAUUUUCUAGAAAAAUUUGUGUGGUCUUUUUUGUUAGCCCAAGGGUUCUCCUAAUCAGGUUUUGAUGAUAACAAAUCAUGGUUAAGUGACUAAUUGGUUUAAUGAUUAAGAAUCUCAAACAUAAACUCGAAAAUUCAUCAAAUGACCAAAUGGAUACAAGAUCGAGACGCUUGGAAGACUUGUGAUCAUAGGAAACUAAUGUAAGAUGAAUGCAUGAGUGCACUUAGGAUUUUCACACGUUUCAUGCAAUUUAGAAAACCCAGUUUAUUCUUUAAAACUUCAAUUUCAUUAAAACCCGAGUUUUUAACUAAUGUACCUUAGGCAAAAUGUUUUAUAAUUGGCUUAAUAAUUCACCUAAAUACAUUUUCUAAGUGUUAGAAAAGAAAGGAAUUAAAAAAAGGUUUUCGGGGCAAAAAAGGCUCAACCGGUCGAGGCUAUGGUCAACCGGCUCAACCGGUUGAGGAACCAAUCGAUCGGUUGUGCUUGUCCGAUCGAAGACCAAUCGAGGGAUGCCAAAAAAUUUCUCUCUCUCCUAGUGGCCUUCUCUUCCCGGUCGAGGUUCGGUCUAGGCAACGGUAACAUGUCAAGCAUUAAAUGCUCCGACGACUAGUGAAUCGGUCGACCCCUAGCCCGAUCGGACGAGGUUGCCUUUUGCUGUUUUUGACUCCCGAGCUUAGAAACCUAUAAAUUGAGAGCUCCACUUCAUUUAUUGAUAAAAGAGAACACUUGCAUUCAAUAGUCUACCUACCUUUUCUUGAUCAAAAAGCUCUCAUUUCCUUCAUAGUGCAUUAAAUCAUCACUUGCAUAUCCUUUAGUGCACUAUUGUGUGUCAUCCUAGCUUUGUUUUGUAUUUGAGCUAUCCUUAAGCUAGGUUGAGGGAUUAUUUCUUAUAAAAAUCUGAGUGUUAAAGCCUUCAAGAGAUUUGAAUCUUGAAGAGAUUGUGUAAGAGCCCAUUGGAGCCGGAGUCCAAGUGUAAGAAGAUUGGAAGCUUGGUUGAAGCUUCAAGUUAGUGGAACCCUCACUCGGUUAGGAGGUUGAGGAGAGUGGACGUAGGUAAGGAAGUGUCGAACCAUUAUAAACCCGAGUUUGAAUUCUCUAACUCUAUCUCUUUAUUUUGCUUAUAUUGUGUUUGAAUUUGUUGUGAUUGAAAAGAUUUUAAAAACCUAAUUCACCCUCCCCCCUUUUGGGUUUUUUUUUCUUAAUUAAGCAUAACCUUUGUUUUCUAAUUUUCUUUUUAGGAAAAUCCAUGCGUGGUAUGUCCAAACUCUCCAAGUGGCAGUCUGCCUUCUUCUAAAAAAUUUGUUUCUAUUUCUUUAUUCGACUACCUUCCAUGUCUUCCUAAUGAGUGCUUGUGCUCAAUGGUCAAUCCCUGGUGGUUGCCUCCUUUUCCCAUAUAUACGUGUUGCAAAAUCAACAUCCCACUAUAUGUGGGUUGCCUCUAUGGCAAGUUCACAUUUCCCACAUGAAACCUAUGAGUUUCCACCAAAAAUUGCCAUGAAAAAGUCUUUAUAUGCAUCUCAUGCAAUAAAAAGUCAAGCCAAUACUCAUCUUAUCUCGAAAAAUAAGUAACCAAAAUCAAGAUCAUGCCUAAGUGAACUAUGCCAAAAGAAGUGUCCAAGUGACCUAUUAUGAAAAAAGUGCCUAAGUGACCUAAGGUGAAUGUGUGUAAGCUGGAAGGUGUCUAGGAUGUUUAGGACAAUGCCUAAGCCUAAAAUAGGGUUGCCAAGGGUCACAAUGGGGUUAGAUAAAUCUCUCAAUCAGAGUCUCCAAGGUGGCUCAUAAAAGAUAAGCUACACGAGUAAUGAUGGGCCACCAGGGAAUUAUUGUAAAGCACCAAACGAACACAUAAUAGGACAUGUGUUAGAAUGAAAAAAUGGAGGGUUUACAAGUGGUCUCAUGGAUGAGCUUGAUAAUUUAAAUGACUCACAUAAUGAACGUAUGUGAUGUUUCUCUCCAAUAACAAGCAAAACAUCACUAGCAAUAUGAUGAAUGUCUCCUAAAUCACUUGAAGUAGUCCUAGCAAAUCAAUUAGAAAAAUCACACAUAUUGCUCUAAUGUAAUAUUAUAUACAUCUGUCAAUGAAUGGGAGAACUAAUGACACAACCAUCAUGUUGAUAUCUCGAACCCUCUAAUCUCAUAUGUAGGUGGGAUCACACUUAGAAACUCAUAACACAGUAAUGACCAAUCUAAGUCAAAAUGUGUUGGUGAUCGGAGGCCCAUGAAUAUGAAGUUCUAGGAUGAUAAUGACAUCUUAUAAAGUAAUGAUCAUCUCCUUAAUAGAUAGGUGAAAUGUGUGUGUCUUAGGACACCAUCUCUCAACAAGACUUGUGAUCAAUCCCCAGUCUAGUGUAACAUGCCUAUUAUGACAUCCAUCGUAAAAUCUAGACUAGAUAAUAUAAGGACAAAUGUGAGGGUUCAUCUCCCUUUCCCACAUAAAUUUAAAAAAUUAUUAUUGACAAGUUAAGACCAAACUAAGUUGCAAAAUAUAAAUAAGUCCAUUAGAUAACAAAUUUAUGUUUUCUCAUUUUCUCAUUUUUAAAGAGAUAUUAUGUGCUUCCAUGUACAUACAUGCUAAAGUCAAUUAUACGAGACUUAUAUCCAUCUUGUAGAACCAAAUCGAACCUAUCUAAUAGAUCCAGAUUAGAAGUAUGUCCUCUAUACUCCAUAUUUAUAACACAUUUAUAAAGAUAAAUGCUAAAAAAAUGUUAAAGAUAUAAAUUUAAUGAACCAUACUUUAUGAUUUUAAUUCUCAAUUAUUGUUCAUAUUUAUAAGAGAAAAGUUAAAAAAAUUGAUAGAGUUUUCCCUCUAUCAUGGACAUUAUCCCAAAUAAAAAUAAAUUGAUUAUGCAAAUUACAUUAAUAUUUGUAACCAAAUGAUCAAUAACUAUCUUGUAUCAAUUUAGUAAAUAAAUUUAAGUAUAUCUUUUCAUUUAUGACUAACAAAUAACUCAUACUUGUCCAAUAAAAGCCACACCUAAUUUCUAAAAUUUUGUCUUCACCUCAAGUGAGUGUUACAUUGAGAAAGAAAAAAUAUGAAAGAAAAAAUGAACACCUUUUUCUUUUAAUAAAAAAAGGCCAUAACGAAACAUUAAAUCUCACUGUUACACCUAUCUUCAAUGGAAACAUGAGGAUGUGAAUGGUGGCGGUGAUAUUCUUUGCUUGAAGCUCAUAAACAAAUAUUCCUUACUAAGCCUAUGCCAUUUAGUAUUUCAAUAGUGGACCCCCCCCCCCCCCCCCCCCCCCUCCUUGCAUUUCAGAUUUAGCAAACUUAGAACCAAAUAACAAAGUGCAUUUGAACCCAUAAAGAAGUAAUGAGACUCUCCUAUAUUGGCAAUAGAAGAAAUUUUUGGAGGUAUAGGAGAUUCACGGAUGAAGAAGUUGGGCCCCAAUUGAGAUAAGACCCAAGAAAAGAUGGGGUAGAGAGGGAUGGUUGGAAAUUGUAAAGUAAGAUUUUCAAAAUGUAGUUGAUGACUAAGAUUUUGACAAUUUAAAAAAGGUUUAAAAAUGUAGUUAGCAAUCGGGGUUUUGUAACAUUUAAAAAAUAAAAUAAAAUCUCAGGCCACAUGGUAGCCCAUGUGAUUCAGAAGCUUGAGAAUUAUUUUAUAAGAAGACUUAAUUUGUGAUUUUUUUAUAACUAUAUUAUUUUUUUUCUUAACACACGAAAAAAAUUAUGAAAUAAGACAAUUUUCCUAAGAAAGCAUGUAAGUGACUCUUGGUUAUUUUAUUUAACUUCUUCUAGUUUGGAGAGGAUUAAUACCUUUGCUUUUACUCACUUGCUUGGAUAUGUACACGUUGUUCAUGUCACUUUUCAUUUAAUUUUCUGAUUAAGGGAAUUGGAACCGUACGUAACUGUCUUUAUUCCCUCUGAAACUUGGACUUGGAGUUGGACUUUCAAUCUCAUCAGUCGUGUUUCCAUAAAAAAGAAGAUGGAUUAACCAAUUUUCCUAUGCCUACUAAUCAUACACAAAACUCCACUUCCAAAUAAAAAGGAAUGGGAUAUCACUUGUUAAUAGUGGCUAAAGACUAUUAAUAACCAUGCAAAGAAAUGUCACAUUUUUUGUUCUACGCAAAUUUUAUUCAUCAACUACUAGAACCAUUUCAUACAAUAGUAGCUUUUCGAUCCUUUGAUAAAUGGACACUUGAUGUGAUAACACCAACUACACCUAUAUAUUCAAGCAAUCAUGCGUAUAUAAUAGUGGAUAUGGAUUACUUCUCUAAAUGGGCAAAAGUUUUGUCAUUCAAGGAAAGUGAACGAGGAAACACAAGUUUACUUUCAUCGGAACUAAUAUUAUAUAUUGAUAUGACUUCCCAUUAUUACUUACGAUGGAAUAUGCUUCCAUAAAAUGGCCUAGAUGAACAAACUAUCCAAGAAGUUUGGGAUCAAAUAAUAUAUAUAUAGUUCAUGUGUGAUUCUUUGGUUGACAACCUUGUUAAGGGGUGAGUGAAGCACUUUGGGCAUACCACAUACUACAUGCUAGACUUCCACCCAAGCUACCCUAUAUUCCUUAUGAACAAAGUAGAAGUUGUCAUCUCUCUUGAAUACCAAAUCCUUUCACCUAAUAAUGCUAUCUAAAAAGGUCUUAAAAAGGAUAAAAAUGCGCAUAUUUGAAUUUUUGAAUUAGGAGUGCUACUUAAAAAGAAGCUAGAUAUACAAUAAUAGAAUGUUAUCAAGCAUAUCUCUUCAAAGUUUUUGACCAAAAAAUAUAUGAUUUCUCAUUUUAGGUAGGAGACUUAGUACUCACUAUUCAAAAACCAAUUAUCAUUACUCAUAAAAACUAAUAGAAAGUUUGGGCCAAAGUAGGAUGGACCUUAUAUUAUGCAACAAUUAUGCCUAUAAAAUUGUUGCAAAAGAGGUUUUAGAAUCAAAUCAAUGAAUGAAAAAUUAUUAAAGCAUUACUAUGCUUGAAGGCUAGUCAUUUUCCCUUAAAGUGCAAUAUUAAGUUGCAUAGUACUAUGUGGAUCCGCAUUUUUCACAUGCGUUCCCACUCAUUGUCGAGACUCACUUUUUAGAAGUGAAAAAUUAGUUUUAUUAAAGUCGAAGUUGCCACUGGGGAUUUGAACCCUAACAAAAGGUUCAAUUUAAGGAUAAAAAUAUCGAUAAUCACAUAUAUAUAUAUUGGUACUUUGAUUUUAUGAAUAUAUUGAAGAAAUAUGGACAAAUAUUUUGACACAAAAUAUGUACAAAAUAAAAAUUAUAUAAAAAGUAAAAAUAAAUAUUUUAAAAUUAUUUUUUUAAAUAUAUAUAUAUAUAAUUUGACAUAUUUGAUAAUAAUAUAUAAGGGUCUCCAAAAAGCCCGUGGCCCGCUUUAGGCCCGGUCCGACCCGACAGGCUAAAGCCCGGCCCAAGCCCGCCGGGCCCAAGCUCGGCCCGAGCCCGUUUAUGGGUGGGCCGGGCCGCGAGCCCGUAGGCCUGCUCCUUUAAAAAAAAACUACAAAAAUAAAAAGUAUUAAAAAAAAUAUUCAUUUCAAAAUUUUAUUCAUUGAAUGUAUAAUUACAUUUGAAAAUGUGGGAAAAGUUUACAUCACUACAAAAUAAAUACAUCCCAACUAGGUUGGCACCUAUUUAUUUGUCAAUCAUCUGUAUUUUUCAACCACAAAAAAUAAAAAUAAAAAUAUAAUAUACAUUUAGUCAUUAUUUUCUGGCGGUGAUGGCGAACUAUCAUGCAUCCAUGAAGAUCUUGAUAAUUUUAAAGAUUCCAUAUCGGUAAGCAUCUUUGUUUCUCGAAUGGAAUCAUACAUCCUUUUAUCUGCUAUUUCCCAAUCUUUCACACAUAUCCCUGCUUUAAUAACAUCUGACGCUAAGUUGCAUCGUUUUUUACUAACUACUCUUCCACCUGCACUAAAAGCAGCUUCUGAUGCAACUGUACUCACAGGAACUGUUAGUACAUCACGAGCAAUUAUAGAAAGCACAGGAUAUUUGUGUUGAUGUGAUUUCCACCAUAUUAAAAUAUUAAAAUCUUCUUGAUCUUCAAAUGAAAUUAUAUCAGUAUUAAGAUAUUUAUCUAAAUCAGAUGUAUUAUUUGGAGAAUUAUUUGUUGUCUUUUUUCGACUUUUCAACAUUUCUAGAGCUCCUUUAUAAAAAGAUGAGGAGUUUGUAGAUGUAGGUGGUAAUUUAAUAGUAUUAAUAUCAUUACCAUAUUUUUCUUUAUAAUAGUUAUAUAAAUUAUAUAAUAAUGAAUUUAUUUCAUUUUUAAUUUCUUCAAUUUUUAUUUGGUCAUUAAAAUAAAUAAUUGUUAACCAUUCAUCCAAAGCUUCAAAUUUCAAUCUAGGGUCCACAAUUAAAGCAAUAUAAAAAAUUAAAGGUAUUUCUCCCCAAUAUUUUCUAAAUUUUUAUAUCAUUACAAAUAUUGUAUCAUUAAAUAUUUCAAAACUUAAAUAUUUUUGAAGUACAAUAAAAAUAUUAGUUAUUUGCGUAAUAACUCGAUUUGAAGUUGGAUAAUAUACACCACAAAAAAUGUUUGUUGAAGUAUCAAAAAUUUCAAAAAGAUCUCUUAAAACAUCCGCAAUAUGCCAAUCAUAAUCAUUUAAUGCAUAAAUAUCUGCUUCAUAAUCAUUGUUAAUUAAUUGUAUUUCAUAUAAUUCGACUACUUUUCUAUAUUUUGUAAUAUUUUCUAAAAGUUUAUAUGUGGAAUUCCAUCUAAUAGCCAUAUCCAAAUUUAUAUUUUUUCUUUUCAUAUUUAACAUUUUGCAACAAUCAAAAAAUAAUUCAUGUUUUGCUUGAAAACUAUUAAUACUAUAUGCAAUGCCUCUAAUUUUUUUCCAAUGUACUAUCAACAUUUUUUAAUCCAUCCUUUACAAUUAAAUUUAAAAUAUGUGCACAACAACGCACAUGAAAUAUUUUAGCAUGAUCUUCUUUUACUUGCCAAUAUCGUUUUAGUCUAUGUAUUGCUGCAUCAUUAUUAGCAGCAUUAUCUAAUGUUAUUGUCAAUAUUUUAUCACGAAUGCCUAAAUCUAUAAUUUCAUCAUUUAUUAAAGAUGCUAUAUUUUUACCACUAUGUGGAGUAUUUAUUAAUUUAAAUAAAAUUAUUCUUUUAUUUAAUUUCCAUUCAUUAUCAAUGUAGUGAACAAUUAUAUAUAAAAAACCAGUAUGAGUUAAAGAUGUCCAAAUGUCAGAUGUUAAACGAAUAUUUCCUUCAAAAUUUGCAAAAUUUUUUUUUAAAAUUUCUUUUUGUGUAUAAAUUUUUUUCAUAAUAUCUCUUUUAACUGUAUUUCCAGAUCAACCUUUAAAUUGAGGAUUAAUACCUCGUUGAAUUGUUCUUGCAAAAUCAUGAGUUUCCAUCAUGUUGAAAGGUUGUUCUGCUCUUAUUAUAUAAUCAAUCAUUUCUUCACAACAGUUAGAUUCAUCAUAAGAAAAUGUUUUUAAAUUUCCACUUUCAUUUUUACUUAAUUGCAUAUAAUUUCUAAUAUCUACAUUAUUUUUAGUUUUACAAUUUUCAUGAUGUCUUUUUAAAUGACUUGUAUCUGCAUUUGAGCCACCAGUAAGAAAUUUAUUACAAAUUUUACAUUUUGCUUUUAUUUUUUUUUUAUUAUUUUCUAAAAUUAUUUCUAUUCUAUCAAAAAAAUUCCAUAUAUUUAAAGUAAAUUUUUUGUUUGAUGAUAUUUCAUCACAUGGACUAGACGAAGAAGCACUUGUCAUAUUAUAAUUAUUGAUAAAAUAUUAUGCCAAAAAUAAUAAAGUAAUAAAUAUAAAAAAAAAUGUAACAAAAAAAAUAAAGUAGUAGGGGUGAAGUAUGUUACUCAAUUAGAGAACCUAUGCAGAAAUUCCUAGCAAAUUUGAACUCUUGGAGCCACCAAUGCUUGUUUUGCACCAUCAACAAUAUUGUAUAAUUUGAGGGAAAAAUAAAAGAAUUUAAAAUAUUGUAGAAUGUGAGAGAAAUAGAGAGAAUUUGAUGAAAAAAUGAAAAGGAAGAAAAUGUAUUUAUAGGAAGGUUAAAAAUAAUAAUAAUAAUAAUAAUAAUAAUAAUAAUAAUAAUAAUAAUAAUAAUAAUAAUAAUAAUUGGCCAUGUGACCGUUGGAGGCUUAGCUCCAACGGUCACAUGGGCUGGAGCUAGGCUCCAACAGUCACAUGACCGUUGGAGCCUUUAAUUUUUUUUUUUAAAAUAAUAUACUUUAUUUUUAUAUAUAUAUAACUAACUCAAUUAAUAAACAUAAAAAGAAUAUAGUUCAGUUGGUUAGAACCUUGAAGUUUAAACAUGAGGGGAGGGGUUUGAAUCCCUCCCUCUCCCUUAGGGGCUUUUUUAAAAGCCAUUUUGGCUUAUUUCAAAAAGCCUGUCGGCCCGACCCGCCCUGCAGCCCGCGGGCCUAGCAUUUUAGCAUGGCCUGGUCUGUUGACUAGUCAAAUGGCUCAUAGGCUCGGCCCGAACUGGGCCGCGGGCCUCUUAUUUACGGACCGGCCCGACCCGGCCCGCCCGUUGGAGACCCUUGAUAAUAUCUUCUAUAUUAAGUUACAUUAUAGUUUAUUUUACAAUAUUAUUAUGAUAAUAUGUCUAAUUUUAAAAUAUAUUUAAUAUUAAAAUUAUGAUCUAUUUUAAUUUAAAUGUAUUCAAUGAUAUCAAAUAAAUAAUAAUAUAUGUAUAAUUCUUUUAUUAUUUAUAUUUAUUAUUUUUAAUAAAUAUAUAGAUUAUAUAAAAAAGACCGGAUAUAUCUUUUCAAAUUUUGUAUCGCUCUCCAAGGAUAUUAGAUGUAUGGGAAUUUGUAUUGCUAUCUACGGAUACGUUGAUAUAUGGGUGAUUUAUCAGGAUAAUUAGAAAUUCUAAUUAUGUAAGCAGGUACGGAGUUCUGUGUCGGUGCGAUCUUGUCGACAACAGCUCCAAAUUGUGCAUCUUGCUCAUAGAGAGUAGCGGAAUGCACCAAUCGUAGGCUCAGAGUACCACUGAGUCGUCUGGCAGAGACCCAACUGAAGGUGCCUGUGUUGUUCCUGAUCUGAUCAGGCUUCAAACUACAAGGUGGAAUACUGGUUCCCCUAUAUCAGAAGCUGGAGAUACCCACCCCAUAUGCUCGUCUGGAUGUGCUCCUACCCUUUGAAGCCUUCUUCCGAGUCAAGUCCGAAUUGAUAAGGCUAGUGAGUUCCCAACCAACUGUACUCAGCAUGCUGCCAGGUGGAGACCCUCCAUAUUUGAUGGCUUCCUAAUAUUAAAAUGCUGACCACUGGUCUUCAUGUUCCACAGGCUUAAUUGUGUCCUUUGCUGAAAGAAUGGAUAGUGAUCCAUUUUAACACAUGAUUCACGCCGUCUUUGCCAUUCUUCAUGGUCUAGCCCUUUUAUAUAUAUGCUUCCUGAACUGUUGCUAUUAAUAAAAUGUGGUAUCUAUCCCGUACACCUUCCUGAUGGCCAGCGAAUGCAGAAGCUACAGAAACGGUUCCAUCUUUUGCUUCCGCCACUUUGGCAUCCUCCAUGAUGAGAUCGAAGGUGAAUAAUCAUAUUCUGGGGAUUUAUGUCCUGGAUAUUCUCAGUAAUGCCCAAUUUCCUGGUGCCGGCCUCAUUUCCAUGGGAACUGAUGGAUAACUUAAGGCUUCUACCAUCUGCGUGGUUCGCUUCUAACACAGGAAACUUCACGGCUAAAAGCAAGAUACCAAGAACAUCAAGGCUGUGACAAAAAUUAGUAUUUUUAACUUGUAGGAAUUUGAAAGGCAACCAACCAUCUAGCUCUGUUCUUAAAGCUCCCAUAGGAGGAUCAGAGGCUGGAUUGCUCAAGAUGAACUCAUCCAUUGUUGCACUUAAAAAGAAUUGGCAUGAAUUGUGGCCGCUCUAAUAGGUUCCCUAAACCAUCAUCCAAGUGGGCUUGCGGAAGGUAGCGAGUUUAAAACACCUAGGGCGAUGAACAGUGGACUGUGAUGCUCACAAAAGAGAAAAGGAAGAAUUCAAUAAUUCCUAAGAAUCCAUUUGCCUGUCAUCCAAAUUUUUAUAUUCUCUUCAGUCUGACGCGUUAUGCCAUAUAUUAAAAAUAGCGGCUUCUUCCAAGCCGAGACAGACUGUGCAAAGUUCGCAAGGCCAAUCAUCACCAUAAUCUGAAGUUGGCCUCCUCAAUCGCAGCUUGUAUCCGAAUGCUCACUUCACGGGAUGGAUUGUAAUGAAAACUAAUCUCAGUCCCAGCUAUGGCAGCAUCCUCACUUGACAGCAUUUUCUGCAUAUUCUAGAACAAAGCAAUAAACCCUCAAAGGCUCCUUCGGAUCAGAGUUAGAAGACUGUCCCUCAGGAACGUGAACACUAUGGUGGUUCUGAUAAGCAGUGAUAUUGCAUUAGAGCCUUUUGGAACAAGAGGAUCUUUUCAGGUGGAAACUGUAAACUGCUUCAUGUUGGGCUGCAACCUUUUCUUCAAGCAAUACUUUCUUUCUGUAUCACGACUUAUGUUGCUUCCGGAGCCAUCCCGUGUGGACUGCCCUUCAGUGAAAGAAUAUGUGUGUUGACAUGUUGGAUUGUAAUCUUUGUUCCACUCUAAUGGCUUUUGGUCCUCCUCUUUCUCUUUAUGACAGAGAACCAUUUAGUGAUCCAUCUCUAUAUUGUAGCAUUGCUGGUGCUUUGCAAUACUACACUCUCACCAAGCAUAACAUCUAUUUUUCCGUGACCAAAGUAUGUCGGUUUAUGCAUGCGCAAACUCUUAUUCAUUGGCAAGUUGUCAAGCGUAUCUCAUGAUUUCCCAAAGCCACAAGUUCUUAUGGUCUUUCUGUUCAAGCUUACAAUGAUCUAUCUUUUCUUGGUUAUACUGAUGUCGAUUGGGCUAGUUGCCCUGAUAACAAGCACAAUACUAGUGGGUACAACACUUUUCCUGGUCCUAAUCUCAUUUCAUGGGCAUUUUCAAAGCAGAAGGUUGUGUCUCACUCCAAUAACGAAUCUGAAUAUAGGGGACUCACUAAUUAAUGUUGUUGCCAAGGUCACUUGGAUUGAAUCUGUCUUACGUGAGUUGCGUGUUUCUCUACCCCAACCACCAAUUUUGUUGUGUGACAACAUUAGUGCUACACACUUGGACAAACCAUGUUGAAAUACACUAUCAUUUUAUCCAUGAAAGGCUUAUGCAUCACACACUCAAAAUUCAAUACACCUCUUCUAUAGACCAACUAGUCAAUGCUAUGACCAAAGCUCUUCCUUCAUCUCACUUGUACAAUCUUCAGUGCAAGCUGAUUGUUCUUCCCAAACCACUCAACUUGAGGGGAGAUGUUAAGCCAAUUUAAUAAAUUGAUUUCUUUUGGUUAAUUUGUUAGAAUCAUUUUUAUUAGAGGUUUGUUUGUACAAUUACAUCCAUUUAUCAGGAGAGUACACGUGUACAACUCCUCUUUUAAUCUCACCAUUGUAUAUAUAUGAUACACGACCUUACUCAGAAUUGCAUAACAUUUCCUCUGCUCAUUCCUUUUCUUCUUUGAAUUUUCCCUUACCUCACUGAUUUUGAUUUAUACCUGGUGUUUUCACCUUUGGUCUCUACCUUUCUAGCCAGUUUUCUAAUUAAUCCGUAUAUGGUAUACCUGUCAACUAAUGAGGAGAAAGAGAAAAGGGGAUUGCUGUUCCACCAGCUACAUAUAAUAAUUAAUUACAAUCAUGGUAAUGGAUCCUGAAAUCCAUCCUUUGUGGAUUUUGUACGGAAUAUUGUUGUUAUGUAUGUGGGCUCACUUAGAUGUAUAUUGCUAGCCUGUCUGGGAAAUGUGAUUGCAGGUCCAGAUUAUGAUGUUGAUAUUAGUGGGAUAAGCAAGAGAUGCAGUUAACACGUAUGUGAUGGACUUGAGUAACUUUUCCAUUUCAGUCCAUUUUUUAAGAUUAUGCUUAGUCUUAUUACAAGGAAAGACCAUAAGAAUCAUGAGUCAUUGGCAAGGUAAUAUCAUUCCCUCUUUACAGGCUUCUUCACCUUUUGGUUUUUUUAAUAUCCAUCAAGAUCUUUUAAUUGGAGGACAAUUACAAGUAUAUAUAUAUGUAUUAAAAGGGGAAAAUAUUAAAACAGGAAAUUUUAGGGAAAAUAUAAUAAUUAUUUCUUCCUUCUUUCCCAUAUAGAACUACACAAAAUAAAACUUUAAUAAUUUUUUCUUAUCUUUUUUAUUAUUAUUUUUUCUUAGAAACAUCCGUGGUCUCACAAGCUUGUAAUCCUAGAUUGUUAGGCUCCUUUAACAGUGCCCCAACAUCGUGGUCCAAUGACAAGCUUCCACGCCUUAAAAUCAGAAAAUGCCAUUAAACUUUAUCAGACAUUACAGUUCAAGACAAAGCUUUCAUUUGCUUAAUGUGAUAAUGAAAUUGUUAAUUUCAUUUCGUGGGCAUCUAAAUUUGGACGAGCAAGACCUCUGAAUUCCCUGUUUUUAUCACCAGCAGAGGAGAUAAAAUCUUAAUGGUGAGAAUCUCCACGUGAAAUUUAUGUGUACUGUCAACAUAUUUUUGUUUAUAUAGUCCAGUAGCUGCAGGAAGUCUAGAUUAUAUAGGUAGCAGUAGCACUAUUUAUAGCACUCGAUAUUCGCUGUAUGAAUACAUUAAACCUUGUUUUCAAUACGCAUCACAAGCAAGUACUAGAUACUACAAGGAGUGACAGUCGCAUCAACAUUUCUUGAUAAUAGCAGUGACUGAUUUAUACACAGAACAGUACUGUACACGUACCAGUCACCAGAGAUAGGAUCUUAUUCCUACAUACGACUCUUAUUGAUCGAAGUCACUCAGUUGGGGUAGCCUGGAGUUGGAGGUUUGUGUGGUGGCUUCUUCUUUGGAGGAGGCUUUAUCUUUGGAGGCAUCAUCUUUGGAGGCAUCUUGUGUGAGUCUUCUUCAGCAUUCUCUACAGGAGGAUGGCCAGGCUUAUGACCCUUAGGUGGUUUGCCAACUGGGAUUGGUGGCUUGUGUCCUGAGAGUGGCUCCUCUUCUUCGGGAGGUUUGCCAACUGACGUUGGUGGCCCGUGUCCUGGGGGUGGCUUGUGUUUUGGGGGUGGUUUCACUCCACCGGGAGGUUUACCAAUUGGUGUUGGUGGUUUGUGCUCAAUCGGUGGCCUCUCAACUGGGGGGCGCUUGGGGUAAUCAGCGAGUGAAGAAGUGGUGAGAACCACCACUCCAAGCAACAACACUAGCAAGUAUGUGGAAGACAUCUUUGAGUUUGGCUCAGAUGGUGUAGAACUAGAAUCCUGGGUGGCCUUUUAUAUUAGUUGGGCCCUAUGCCCGAACGACAAGUGUCAUGGUGACACAUAAAGUGAUGGGGUCGAUUUGGGCCUACCGGAUUUGAAAACUUGGACAAUUCGAGAAGCGUCUCCUGACUCCGGGUUGUAAAGUGAAAGAUUAGGUAUCGACCAUUGAAGUAUGAUCACAACUUUUGGCCUUUGGCUCUCUCUACUGCCGUAUAGCUUUUUUCCUUUGGAUAUUUUUCUUAGCUAGACACAAUUAUUGAGCAGUCUAAUCUCGAAAUGGGAUUAGUAUAGCUUUAAGCAAAUUUAUUAUAGUUAGUGGAGGACUUUUAAGAGUGCAGACGACAUUUAACACAUGCAUGCAGUAGUAUAGGGGACAUAACACUAUUCUUUUUCCAAAGAUUCACAUGAUUUUUAUAUUAUAGUAUUGGCACAUUGUAUGUAGCUGGUUUUGUGGUUAAAAUUCCAUAUGUAGACACUGGCGUUUCUCCAUUUCUCACAAUUGAUGUUUACCUCCACGAUUACUAGAUUAGAUAUACCAAACAAUAACACAUUGUAUAAUCUAUCCGCCCUUCAAAAUCUACUGUAUGAUGAAAUGUUUCAUGUGUGUGUGAAGUGUUAGAAAUGCACUAUAGGCAACAUCAUCUUCUUUUGUCUAGGCUUGGGCCUCAAAUUAUACUCCCAUGCCAUGAUAAAUUUUCAUGUGCAUUCUCUAAAGAAGAGUGUCUUGAAUGUGCCAAAUCAUUUUGAUUGAUUUUAUGAUGUUAAUUGCUCCGCAUAUGGAUGGGUAUGUGCUUUAUUUGCUUAUUCAAUCCACAAUUACCUUGAACUGAAGUCCUAUUGGAGCUCUAUUAUUUUAGCAACGUCCUGUCAAAUAGGCUGCUAACUUGGGGUGGUAUGGACCCAAUGAUCCAUCUUAAUCUUGGGUUGAUUUUGUCUGACUCUAUCUAUCUCAGAGAGAACCAGGAUCACCAGUGCUGGUCUGCUUAAAGAAGACUCAGUACUGGAUUAAUAUUGGUUUGGGUCAAUAGCUUAUAAUGCAUUGAAUGCAGAAUAAACAAGAUCAAUGAAACCCAAAACACACUGCCCACACAACUUCACUCUGGUGUCUGUUAUUCAUCAAUUCUAUUCCCACAUGAACUGGUUCAAGUUUAAGAAAAUGACAACGGAUCCACUGUAUUAACUUGGUUUUGCUUGGUUUUGAGCUAGUUGCCAAACCAGCCAUGAGUUUUACCUCUAAUGUCAAUGAACAAACCCCAAAUGAACAACUGCAACAGCUUAAAGAGAAGGAAUGGAGAUGAAAAUCCCUGUUUCUUCUCAUUCUGGGGACAAAUUAGAACAUAACUACAAAGGUUCUAUUAAUUGACUUACUCUACCAUGAAUUAUGGUUCUUUGGUUUUCCAAAUUUAAAUUGUACAUGAGAUUAUUUUUUUCCUUUAUAUAUAAACAUAUUAAGGUUUUCUUAUUUCGUGGGCAAAUGCGCUAAGGAUGAAAGUCAUUUCAUUUGGCUGCAACAGCAUCUUAUAAUCAACAUGCAUAAGCAGCAGUUUUAAUUGAUCGAUUGAACACCGACUCACAAGAAUAGAUAGAAUGGUACAAGACAGCUCUUAUUAAUUUAUACUCGUUACUCAUUUUAUGUAGCCCCAUUAAGAUGGCUGGCUGGACCACCGAGGUCUGGGGGUGGUGUUGCUUGUGUGAUGCAGCGGGCCGGGCAGACACUUCUCUAGUUGCUUCUAUUUGGAGUUAGAGGAUCAGUCUCUGCCAACCUUGAGGACUCUCUACCUCAGAGGGUCCAGGUGGUGGACUCUGGUGUCGGUAGCUUUGAACUCUCAGUAGACUAGUGUGUCUUAAUCAGUCACUGCCAGAGGCUGGCGUAGGCAGUGACGAUAAGGUGAGACAAAUUACCGAAUAGUCAAUAUCGACUGCACUUGACCAUUAUAGAUUUGUUCUGACAAAAGUGAGAAAAGGGAGAAAAUCGGAUGUUGACCUUUAUAGAAAAAGAUAAGAUUUACUGCAACACAGAGCACUGAUUUGUUACUUGGAAACCAAGUUAUGCUAUUAGCUAGCCUCCAUUAGCAGCAGGGUACCUUGCUGCCUGAUCCUAAUCUGAGUUCCCAAGGUUUCAAUCUUCGUUUGUUAACGCUUCAGGAUUUGGAUAUUUCAGCUUCGUUUCUCCAUUUAGCCAACGCUGCCUGGUUUGGAUUUCAAUCCUCAUCUGGAACAUUCUUUUUUCGGUCUGAUUCAGGAAGUGUUUGGUGAUAGUUGAUUAAAAUUAAACAGUACUAUCAUACAAAUAAAGCUGAUCUAAUUUUGGUGGGCAAUAUACCAACUCAUUUAUUCUUGAAAACACCAUGGGGAAUUGGAGGUCCAUCCGAAGUACUAUUUGAUGGGACUCACAAAAAGAACAGGUGCACAUUUAUGAGAUCCGUGGAAGAGAUAACUAUGACAGCUAUGCAUGUACAACAGAUUUAUGUCGAGUUCACCUCGUAGAUAUUUUGUUUUCAGUGUCGGUGGACCCCAAAAUGGAAAUCGGAAAUUAAGGUUAUAUUUAUUUUUUUAUUUAAUUUUAAAUAGAAUUUUAAUUUUUAAUAAUAUUAAGUAUUAAAUUAUUUUUUUAAGGGUAUUUUAUUUUUAUUAAGUAUUAAAAAGUAAAAAAAAUUAAUAUGUUGCUUUUUUAUUUUAAAAAAAUUAUAUAUUUUAAUUUUUUCUAUUUACUAAAAAGUUUAUAAUAAAUUAUAAAAAAAUAAAAAAAUAAAAAACUUAAAUUCUGAAAAUAAAUUAUUUUUAAUAAAAAAAUCCAAAAAAGCAAACACCACCUAAAUUUGAGAUGACUCAAAAUUUUAUAUUUUUUUUCACCUAAAUUAUAUUCAUAAAUUUAAAAUUAAAAAAUUAGGAAGUUGAAUUUUAUUUUGGAUAAUUGGAAACUACAAGAAAUCAAUAAAAAUAUUUGGAAAAAAAAGAAAAAGAAAAACUAUCUAUAUAUUCACCCCCUUCUAAGAAACAUAACUUUAGUUUUUAACUAUUUUUUAAAAUAAUUUUUGAAAAAUGUUAUAUAAUAUUUUAUAAAACAAAAAAUCUGUUUGACAAUUUGAUAUGUCUUUAACUUAUUUUUAAUAUUUAUAUAUAUAUAUUUUAAAAAUAAUUUUAUAUUUAGAACUUUAUCUUUAAUUAUUAUAUAUAUUUAUAUAAUUAUUUUUUUUAAAACAACUCUUAAAAAAUAAGUGAAAGUAAUUGAAAACAACUCAAAGAUAUUUGAUGAAAACACUCUAAUUUGUAUUUUUGAGAAUAAAAAAAUAAAUAAAUAAAUUUCUAGUUAUCAAAUGUAUUUUUUAAUUCUUUUAUUCUAAAAAAUAGAAAAUCGUUUUUGAAAAUAAUUAUUAAACAACAUUCUUAAAAAUUCACUCGUUACAAUCUAGAUUUAAUGCAAGAAUGAUUGAAGGAGUCCUCCAAUAGAACCCAAAGUUAUAAACAUGAACAAGAAGCCCUAGAAACACCAAAGAUCUCAUAUGGUAUAUAUAUGAGCUUGAUUGAGAACUGUUUUAAAUUCAGUUUUUUUUUUUUUUUUUUUUUUUUGUUUUCAAAGUCAAAACAAGUUUACUUUUAAUUUUUACUUCUUUUUUUUAAUUUUAUAAAUAACAGUUUUUUAAUAAUUUAUUUUGAAAACAUGAUUAUUUUUAAAACUUAUAAUGAAAAUAGGAAUUUUUUUUUUAAUAUCAUGGUUAUUUUCCCUUCUUUUAAGGAGGGCUAUUUUAAAAAUAAAUUUACAAAUAUGAAAAAUGAUUCAAACUAAAGCAGUACAAAUAAAAAACAUUUUUAAGAAAUAUUUAAAAAUAGAGAAAAUUAUUUGAGAACAUUUGAAGUCCUUAAAUAGACUUUUGUUUUAGAAAAGGCAAGAUAAUUAUUUUUGAAAAUUGUUUUCAUAAUGAUAUGCAAAAACCUACGUAAAAACCAUAAUUAUAAUCGGCCACAUAUCAAAUCUACUAAAUAUGAAAAGUAAGUACAUAAUUAUAUUUGACUUAGAUGCAAGGAGGAAAAUGUCGCGAUAUUAUCGCCGAAAUAUCGUGUGUCGAAGGGUAUCGACACGAUUUUUCUUGCAGAAAUAUCGGCCAGUCGAUUUUUCGGGAUAAAUCUCGAGAAAUCGGCAAUUUAUCGCGAUAUAUCGGCGAUUUUUCCUCGAUAUAUCUUCUGGUCAACGCGGGUCAACGGAGUCAACACGCUACAGUGAAAGUCAAAUGUGCUACAAUGUCCCCGCUACAAUCACCUCCCCAAACAAAUUGCCAAAUUGCUUCCGAGGGGAUUUGAACCAGCCUUCUUGCCAUUUGGGCUAACUCGCCCUUAUGAUAUAUAUUGCAUUAAACAUAUAUAUACUUAAAGUCCUUAUAUAAAGAAAAUGUUAAAAAAAUAUUUUAAAGAGCAAAUUAAUUAUAAUUAUUUUAUAAUUAAAAGCAAAAUUUUCUUUUAAUUAAUUACCAAAAAUAUAAAAAUUAUAUAAUUUUCUUCAUAAUGUUUUUAAUAUCAUUAAUAAUUAAUUAAAUAUUAAAAAAUUAUAUAUAUAUAUAUAUAUAUAUAUAUAUAUAUUAUAAUUUAUUUUAUAUUGUUUAAUACAAUUGAAUUAAAUGGAUCAUAUUUUAAUAUUAAUAUAUAUUUUAAAAUUAGACAUAUUGUAAUCAAAUAUCAUAAUAUUAUAUGUAAUUUAAUAAUAAAUGUACACUUAUAAAAUUCAUAUUUUUAUCGAUGCAUACAAUAUUAUUAUCAAAUAUGAUAAAUCAUGUUAUACAUAUAUCAAAAUUUUCAAUAAAAUAACUUUAAAAUGUCUAUUAUACUUCUAAUUAUAUUAUUAUGAGGUUUUCUUUACAUUUUCAUGAGUUUUAAACAAUUUUAAGCACCAAUAUUUUUUUCCAAAAUAUCCACCGAUAUAUCUCCGAUAUAUCCAAUAUAUCUCCGAUAUCUCCGAUAUAUCCGUAAAAUCGAAGUACCGAUAUAUCCGUGAUUACCGAUAUUUUCAUCAUUGCUUAGAUGCAACCUUCUUCCAAAUGACAUACUUUAGUCAAUACUUAUAUUUUUUCGUUUCACUUCUUUGAUACAACACCUCAUGGAUUUAUUGUUUAAUUUAUUUGUAAUUAUAAAACUAUUUUUCAUUUUUAAUAAGACUUGAAUUAAUUUAAUAAAUAUUAUAUAAUUUGAAUUUAUAAUUCUUUUUAUAAAAUCAAAGUAUAUUAAAAAAAAAACAAUUUAUCCGAAGAAAGUUUUUUAUUUUUUAUUUUUUAAAACCGAUUUUAAAAAUAACUAGCUAGACACCCUUAUUUUGAUAAAAUACGAAAUAAAAGUGUAAAAACAACAUGGCCAAAUAGGGGCUUAAAUUUUAUUUUUAAAACAUUUUUUUACACUAAAGUGCAUUUUAAAAACACCAUCAAAACCAACUACAAGUUAUGCUUCUUCCCGUAAUAGAAAUAUUUUAGGCCAAAAUAGAACCUCCCCAAAUAAAGACCCUAUACUAAACUCCUUUUCAUUUUAUUAAUACAAAAGUGGGGAAAAAAGGUCUAUGCUCACCUAAAAAACAUGAAUAUUGUGAAUUCACCAUUUCUAUAAGGAAGUUGAAAACUUCAAAAUUUUAUCAACAAAUUCUCUAAAAUCCUCAAAAUAUAUAGGGCCUGUUUCACAAAGUUUUUUAAAAUUUGUUUUUAUAAAUUGCUUUUAAAAUAUAGAAUAAAUAACAGUUUUUUAGAUUUUUUGAAAAAUAAGAGUGUUUGGUAAGAUGUUUUUUUUUUUUUUUUUUUUUUUAAGAAUUAAAUAAAAAAUAAAAAAAUUGUUUAGAUAAAAGAAUUUGUAUUGUUUUUAAAAACAAUGUCUUACUUUUAUGUUAUAAAAAUUUUAUUAAUUUAAUUUAUAAUAAUAUGAAAUGAAAUUCAAGUUAAGUCUUAUUAAAAAAUACAAAUUAAAUCUAUAAUUAUGCAUGAGUUAAAGAUAAAUAUAUAUUUUUUAAAACUAUAAAAUAAAUUUUCUAUUAUAGUGAAACAAAAAUUACUAUAAAAUAAAAAUAAUUUUAAUAUUCAUUUUUAAUACAAGUCAAAUAAGUACUUUAAUUAAUUUUUUUUAUCAUGAUUUCUUAUGUUUUUUUUUUUUUCUAGAAAUUAUUUUAAGUAAUAUAACUAAUUUUUUUUUUAAUGUUUUAUAAAAAUAAGGAUAUUUGGCAAGUUGUUUUUAUAAAAGGAUUUUAAAAAUAAAUGGAUUUUUUUUUUUUUUAAAAAAAGAACAAAAUGAUUUGUUUGAAUAAAUUGUUUUGAUUUUGUAAAAACAUUUUAAAUUCAAUUUAUAUAAUAUUAAUUAAUUAAAUUAAAUUGAAGUUUUAUUGAAAAUAAAAAUAAUUUUGUAAUUAAAAUUAGAUUAAAAAAUAUAUAGGUUUUAAUAAAUCGUAAAUAGUAAUAUUAUAAUAAAAUUAUAAAUUAUAUUUUUAACAUAAAAUAUACUAUUUAUUACAUAUUAAAAAAAAUAUUUUAUUAUAUUAAUAAUUUUAUGGUAUUAAUGAGUUUAUUAUUUAAGUUUUAAAUUAUUUUUAAAAAUUAAUAAAUUUGUUAACAAAUGCAAUGUACUAAAUGUGGUUUAAUUUGGAGUUAAUUUGUUUAGGGAAAAAAAUAAAAAAUAAAAAUCUUAUGUAAAAGAGAAAUAAUAGAGUGUGUGUGUUUUUUUUUAUUAUUUUUAAAAAUCAGUAAAAAGAACUUUUACUUAUUGCCUAAAAAUUAUUCUCUAUUUUAUUUUAUUUUUUAAAUCUAGAAAUAGAUAACAAUAAUAAAAAAAAUUAAAAAAGAAAAAUGUUUUUUAAAACUCAGACUUAUAAUUGCUUUUGUUUCUCAUUCGCACCCCUGGAUUCCUGGAUUCUAAACACAAAAUUAAGUUGAAUCGUCCAUCUAUCUUGUAAGCCAAGAAUUCACAUAGAAGAAAUAAUCGGAAUUUGAUUUGAUAUCAGAUUUAGAGUGGCUCACUACUCAUGCAUUGUCCCACAAUAGUAAUGCUUUGGGCCGAGAUAAACCCAUUUGUGGGCCCAAAUAAAACCCCUGGUUUGAAAACAUCGAUUUUACAGUGGCCCAAAAGAUUAUCUAUGAGGGGAAGAUAACUUGGAAGUCAAGCAAACACAUUUAUCGCUAACUUUUCUCUAAUUAUAAAAUUAUAACUUGGUCUUCUACACGUCUCACUUAAGAGGCGGAGCCACUUGGCACUACCUUUCCAUAUUGUAAAAGGAGAAGAAGCAGAAGGAGAAGAUUCUUAUGCCAUUCCACACACCAUGGCUAGUACUGCUAUGCUGCUUGGCCCGCCGGCUCUCCGCCAUCCUAAUUCUCCCGCCGGCACUGUCUUUGAAGAUGGGGUCAUUCUAACGGAUUCCCUGAUCGUCCGCACCAGUAAUCUGGAGCUUUCUGAAAAACCGCCACUGGAAUCCCUGGCGUAGUGCUCUGUCAGUGGGGAUAUUGCUAUGGAUUGUUUGGAUUCCCAAGCCCACAAUCUUCAUCUUCCCGGGAAACCGCCGAUGGGCUUAACGGAAAACAAGUCUCCGACCUUUUUGUCUUCCGGGAACCCGUGCUUGGACUUCUUCUUCCAUGUGGUUCCCGAUACGUCGUCUGAUGAUCUGAUCCGACGGUUUGAGUUGGCUUGGGAAUUCAAUCCGCUGACGACGUUAAAACUGAUAUGCAACUUGAGAGAGGUGAGAGGCACCGGAAAAUCUGACAAAGAGGGUUUCUACACGGCGGUUCUCUGGCUCCACGACCACCAUCCCAAAACCCUAGCCUGCAAUGCUAGGGUGUUGGCCAGCUUCGGUUAUUUCAAGGAUUUUCUCGAGAUUCUCUACCGGCUUCUGGAGGGCCCUAAAAUUCGAAGAAUCGAAAAGAAAGACUGGCUGGAUCGAAAAGGAAGGAAGAAAAAUUCCCGGAAAAGGAACUCAAUAUUCAAGCGAGAAAAUAGGCCUGGAGUUGAAUUUCCUGUAGAAGAGAAGGAUGUGGAGUAUAUGGUGGAAGAAUUUGUGGAUAAAGAAAAGGCUAGGGUACUGAGAAAGGAGAGAGAACUUGCUCUUGCCAAAAGAGCCCUGCACAAGUAUUCUACUGAUUCUAAUUAUCAGUUCUUACAUGAUCAGAUUUCAGAUUUAUUUGCUGAACUUCUGAAAUCUGAUAUUCAGUAUUUAAACUCCGGUGAGCUUUACAAGAUUAGUCUCGCAUCCAAAUGGUGUCCCACAAUUGAUUCUUCUUAUGAUAAAUCCACCUUGAUAUGUGAAAAUAUUGCUCGAAAGGUUUAUUCUCGCGAGGAAUAUAUAUCCAGAAUACCAAGGAAUUGAGGAGGCUCACUAUGUUAAUAGAGUCAGGGAUAGGUUGAGAAAACAAGUACUUGUUCCAUUACGUAAGGCCCUGGAGUUGCCAGAGGUUUUCAUGUGUUCGAACCAGUGGGGAUCACUUCCCUACAACCGUGUGGCUUCAGUGGCCAUGAAAUCAUACAAGAGCCUCUUCUCAAAACAUGAUACAGAGCGGUUUGGUGUGUAUCUUGAGAAAGUGCAAACUGGGAAGGCUAAGAUUGCAGCUGGUGCAUUACUUCCCCAUGAGAUUAUAGCUUCAUUGAAUGAGGAGGAUGGCGAGAAAGUUGCAGAGCUUCAGUGGGCGAGAAUGGUGGAAGAUUUAUCAAAGAAUGGGAGGCUCACAAAUUGCAGUGCGGUAUGUGACGUAUCAGGAAGUAUGAGUGGAACUCCAAUGAAGGUGUGUGUGGCUCUGGGGCUGUUAGUUUCAGAGCUCAGUGAAGAUCCAUGGAAAGGUAAUGUAAUUACUUUCAGUGCAAGUCCUGAGCUUCACAAGAUCCAAGGAGACAGCCUUGUAUCCAAGACUGAAUUUGUGAGGAUGAUGGAAUGGGGUGCGAACACUGAUUUUCAGAAAGUUUUUGACAGAAUCUUACAAGUAGCAGUGGAGGGAAAUCUGAGUGAAGAUCAAAUGAUAAAGAGGGUUUUCGUUUUCACUGAUAUGGAGUUUGAUGAAGCUUGUGGGAGGUAUAACUAUUGUGAAUAUGACUAUGAUAUGGAGGAAAUUGAUGAGAGUCAGAAGGCAUCUCAGAAGUGGGAGACAGAUUAUGAAGUGAUACAGCGGAAAUUCCAGGACAAAGGAUAUGGAAAAGUUCCGGAGAUAGUGUUUUGGAACCUUAGAAACUCAUCAGAGACUCCAGUGAUGGCCACAGAGAACGGGGUGGCCUUAGUAAGCGGGUUUUCGAAGAAUCUGUUAGACCUUGUUUUUGGAAGGAGGUGGAAUUCUGACCCCUCAGGAUGUGAUGGAAUUAGCCAUCUCUGGUGAAGAUUACAAGAAACUUGUUCUAUUUGAUUAAGAUAUCAAGAGAUUUAUCAAUAAUAAUAUGUUUUUUUUUUUCUAUGUGAAAUACAUGUAAUAUUAACUAUGGAGUUAUCAAAGUUCUGGAAAUUUAAUUAUUUCUUCUUUUCAAGUUUUGUUUGUCUUUGUUAGGAAUUCCCCUUGGGCGGACCCAGCUGGGGACUUGGAUUGAGGAAGUAAGGAGGCGAAAUUGUGUUCUUCUAUGGACAGAGAAAAAAGAUAAAAAUAAAAAAUAAAAAAGGAGGUUAUUUGCAUUUGGAUGUCAUGUGGUUUCAGGGUACAACUACAAGUUCGAAAUUGUACAUAAUGUGAAAAUUCCUGUGUGGAGAACAGCAUAAAUAUGUAUCUCAGUGUGUUUUGUUUGAGCUAAUUGGCAAAUUCGCUUUAAACAUGGUCACAUGGAUGCAUAUUUAUUUGUGAAAUGAUAGUAGUCGAUUACUUGGUCAGUAAGGUUUGUAUCUCUAACUCCAACAUCUUAUUGUAGUCUUUUAAAAUGUCAAAAGUUUAAUGCUAGCUUGAGAAAUUUUGGAAUGGAGACAUUCUAAACAAAGUUAAUAAUCCAUGAGACUUGGUAAAACCGAUCAGAUGAUGCUUACGUACAUGAAUGCCUUCUUUAAGCCGUAUCCUAUUUUCAUUGAAUGAGACGUGCCAUCUAGUUUUGUUCUUGUCUUGAUUGGAUCAUGAUCCCGGGAAUUGAUUACUGUUCUGAAUUUGCGAAUGUUCAAGGUAUUAGAGAAAGUUAAUAUUAUCGUUAAUUUACAUAUUAGUAUUUAUCUAGUUAUUAUAUAUUAGUUUGAAUUAUAAUAUAAUAUAGAAUUUGAAUCAAGUUUACUAUUAGUUUGAAUUACAAUAGGAAAUAAAGUUUGAAUUAUAGUAUAACUCAAAUAUAUUUGUAUAUAAAUAUCCAUCUUUAUCAAUGAGAAUAGUAAACCAUAUUUUUCUCUAUCUUCUUCUUUCUCUAUAUAUAUGGUAUCAAAGCCUCCAAAUCCUAAACCUAGUCUCAACUUAGAGCAAAUUUAGGGUGCAGGGUUUAGGCCCCGCCUCCCCCAACCCUUACCACAAAUGGUAGUGACCUUGUUAUGCCUAUGUAUUGUCAAUGCCUCAUUUUCUAUGGUCUUCAAUACAAUAUCUAGUUUCAAUGUCUCUUUCCUUACUAUCUCCAAUGCAAUAUAUUGAUUUCAAUAUCUCUUUACAACCAAGAGCUCCAAAUUUUCCUGGUUCAAAUCUACCAUAAUUUUUAUUCUCCUUUGCUUUUUACCAAUAUUAGUUCCCCUAAUUUAAUAUAUAUCUCUUUAUUACCUUCAACUCUACCUCUCUCUUUCUUUAAAAGCUUCCUCAAAGAUUUGAUUGCUUUCUUGCAUGUUUUGGGAAAACAAACAUGCUCAUAUUCUAUUACCUCUACUUGAGAUCUGCCUUAUACUCUACCUUCUUCUUUACCUCCUAUAUCAUCUACUACAUUAGCUUCAAAAACAUUAUUUAGUUUGAUGCUAAAUAAGGCUCCUAAUCCUACCCUUCCUUCAACUAACUUUCUUUUACAAGUCCCUCAAAGUUUUUUUUUUUUUUUUUUUGGAAAUUUGGCUUAGAAAGAUUUCAUUACUCUUACCUAAUCUUUCAACCAUCAAGUCGAAUCCACUUAUCUCUUGAAUCCAAGGAGACUACCCUCCACAAAAACAAGGAGAUUGACCCCCACAAUAACAAAGAGAUUGUCCUCCAUAGAAACAAAGAGAGCUUCCUUCAUGGAAGCCGAAUACAUCGCAAUCUAUUUUCUUUCUCUCAAGAUCAAAUCUCCAAUCGGAGCUCCAUCUUGUGGGGAUAUAUUAGAAAAAGUUAAUAUUAUCCUUAAUUUACAUAUUAGUAUUUAUCUAUAUUAUAUAUUGAAUUAGAAUAGAAUAUAGAAUUUGAAUUAAGUUUACUAUUAGUUUAAAUUACAAUAGGAAAUAGAGUUUGAAUUAUAGUAGAACUCAAAUAUAUUUAUAUAUAAAUAUCCAUCAUUAUCAAUGAGAAUAGUAUUCCAUAUUUUUCUCUUUCCCUGAGGCUUCAGAAUGUGAUCUUGAACAUUUGAUCUUUUGGAUUCUUCUUGUUUCGGUGGUUUAAUAUAAUGGAAUGUUUAAUUAUAGCCUACUUUAUCACCAUGGAUGUGCUCCUGCAGAUUUCUUGAGGGUGAUGGUUAUUUUGUCAUGUUUCUUGAAUGGUUUGCAUCAGCUGCCUGAGCUGUUGUUGCUGGUCACUUUUGCAACCAGGGAAAGAAUCAUGGCUUUGGAGAAGCCAGCUUCUGUUUUUGUUGCCCAGCUGUUAGUUCACUAAGAUUGGGGGUCCUAACAUGUAUGUAUAAUCAUAAGCAAGGAAAUUUUAUGUCUUACGCUAGAUAGGUACCAUGAUAUGAUGUUUGAUUGAUUUAUUAACUCUACCUGUUUCAAAAGGCAUCAACAUUAAUUUUACCCUUUUAACACAUUGGAUUGUUUGACCUUACGAGAUUUUCUAUUUCUGUACUAUUUGAACUGCAAUCGUUAUGGUCCUUAGGUCUCUAAACCUUCGUUUAAAAUAAAAGUAAGGAGCACACAUAGUAAAAGUUAAUUUUGGGUAACUUUUAAAACAAAGAGAAAAGUAAAAGUUGUUUUUGAGAAAAACAUAUAGAAAUUGAAAGAUUUUUUAUUUUGAGAAAAAAAAGUCAUAGAAAAGAAAUAAUAUCCCCAUAUAAGUAGAUAUGAUCUAUCCGAAGUGUAGCUACUCUCCUGGAUUUAUUCUAACAUUUUAAAAUUUUUCUCAAUGGGCAAAGGAAUAUCAAAUCAAGCUUGAGUAGGAUUAAUUUCUUAAUUUUUAAAAUAACUUAUAAUUAAAAUUUUUUGGUGUUUUCUUUUUUGGACAAUUUUUUAUGAAGACUCUGAAUCAUGCAAGAGAUAUGGUUAUUUUAAAAAAAAAAAUAAUUUAAAACUCAAAUACAUAAUCAAUGUCACAAAUUUAUAAACAAAAGGUUUUUAAAAAAUACUAUUAUUUCCCCUCUACACAUAAUUUUACUUUUCCGAUUUAUUUAUUUUUGUUGGAAAACAGUCUUCAAAUCAAGUAAAAUUAAUAUGUUAAAUUUGUUAAACAAAUAAAUUUUAAAAUACAAUUUGGAACUCAAAAAUCAAUUCAAGUAAUGCUAAAAUUCAAAAAAUCAAAUUUGGAAUAAAAUGACUUUGUAAAUUUUUUUACUAAACAAAUGAAUUUUAAAUCAAGUGAGAUUUAAUACAUUGGAUUUUUAUGAGAAUAGUAAUUUUAAAAAUUAAUUUGGAACUCAAAAAUAGACACAAUAAAUACCAAAAAUCAAUGAACCAAAAUUGGUUUGGAAUAACUCCAUAAUUUUUUAUUUAUUUAUAUAUUUAUUUUUUUGUGCACACGAAUUUCUUACUAAGCAUAUUGCUUCCAAAUUGAGAAAAAUUUACUAUUUAGAUUUUUUUAAUGAGUUUAAUGGUAUUUAAAAAUAAUUCAAAAAUUCGAAAAUUGACUAAUUUAAUAUUAUAAAUUCAUAAACCAAGACUAAUUCAAAAUGCAUUGGGGGCUAAGGGGGUUGAAAUUAAUGCUCCAUUUGGUUGUGGCCACCAAUUGGCAAUGGCCACCAAUCAACCAAUCAAGGUGGCUAAGGGGGUUGAAAAUAGGGACAAUGGGGUGGGUUUGGGACAGGACACUCAUAUCCCAUUCCCAUCCCAAUUACACAGUUAUUUCCCAUCCUUAUUCCAAACUUGUGUUGGGGCAAGUUGAUUUGUUCCCAUCUUUGUUAACGAAAUGACUAAUAACCUCAUCCUCUCCUUGUCUUAGAUGUACAUUUUCUCAAAUUUGGUCAGGUAUGAUUGAUUCAAGCCCUAACCUUAAUUGGUAAUGAGUGGAUACCACACCUAAUUGCAUUCUUCUUUCGUUGCAAAAUAAUGAGAUUAUAAUAAUCUAGCAAAUAAGAAAAAAUAGUAUGGAAGUUCAAAUUAACACCAUAACUAUCAAUAAUUUUAAGCUUAUAGAUGACUUAAAUGAUUGAAAACUAAUGCAAAAUACUAAAAAAAAAAAAAAUCAUCUAAAGAAUUCACAAGAGAAUAGAACGAACAAAACCAAAUAGGAACAUGGGUCAACAUUAGUUACAGAUUUUGAUCCCUUUCAAGGCCAAUCUUUGAACCAAGACUUCAUCAAAUCUACUACUUCAAAGGCUUUUGUGUUCUUCUUGAGUUGUACUCUGGAACAAAGACUUCGAGGUGAUGCUUUAGAUGAUUGCAUUACACAUAUUUAGGGUAGGGAGAUUGGAGAAGCUUGAAGAUGCCAACGAUGGGUACAAUUGAGUGGUCAAUAAGAACAAUGUGGCCUAUGACUAGUUUGAUGUCAUGGUAUAGGAGUUUUGGGCAUUGAGGUGAAAGCAAGAGCAACAUGGAAUUGAUUUCAAAGUCUUUCAAUUAGUGUAAAGGAGGAAGAAGAAGUGGUAUUGAUCCUAGAAAUAGUGUUUUAGGUGUUGCAUUAGAGGAAAAGAAAAAGAAAAAGAAGGAACCAUUGGAAUUAGUACGAGUGUGAAGAGAGAAGUGUAUACAUAAGGGGAAGUAAAAGCAAAGUUCUAAAAAUUUAUUUUUUUAUUGGUGGUGUAUGGUUGCAUGAUUAUCCCUAUAAAUAAUAGGAGUUUUUUGGUGUUCUACUAGUAGUUGAAGGAUAAUUUCAUAAGAUAAUAUUUAGAGCGGGGUGGGGUGAGUUGUGACAAAAUCCAUACCCGUCCCAAACAUUGGUUCAGGUUUUUAAAAUAUUUUCAAACUUAUCAUAUACCCAAUUUUAUAUUUCAUACUUGUCCUAAUAGAGACAGGUUAGUCAGGGUUACUUGAGUAGCCUACAAAACUAUCAUCCCUAGUUGAAAUGCUCUUUUUGGCAGUGGCAGCUAGAAGCUCGAUCGAUUGACCUACAAGACUAGUUGUCAUCAUUUUAAAAAGAGUUUUGGCUUUGGUUGUGAGUGCAAUUGAAUCUAAACUAACAUUUCCUUAAUGCAUCUACUUCAAUCCUAAACUUCUUACUUAAGCCUCAAUUGUUGUUAAGAUUUUGGAAAACCCAUUUCCUUAAAUUGUAAAUUUAAGAAAAAAAAAAUUAAAAGUGAGACAUUUCUUGAUUGAAUGUUGUUAAAGGUCCCUUGGAAUUAAGACUUGGUUGAAGCCUUGGAAGAUUAGCAGAACUCUCAACUUAUGUUUGAACCUUGAGGAGAGUGGACGUAGGCCAAAAUUUUGUCAAACCAUUAUACAAAUUGAGUUUGAAUUCUCAUUUCUUGAUUUCUUAUUUAUUUGCUUUUUCUUAUUAUUACUUGAAUUGUCAUUUGCAUUCAUUAAUGUUAAAAUUGGUUAUAAUUAGCCAACACUAAUUCUCUUUCCCCUUCCCUUAAUUUCUUGGGUGUAAACCUAGGUUGGAUUAACUAGAUUUUAUCAAAUCUAUUAAGAUGGUAAAAGAAUAAUUAUUCUUAACAUACAUAAGAUCAUCUUCAAUCAAAUGACUCAUUGGCUGAUAUGUUGAAUUUGCUUAUUACUUGCAACUCAAAAUUGUGUUCUAGUUGAUAUGUCAAGUCCUGAGUGUAUGGACAUUAAAUUUGUAGUACGUGAUGAGUAUUUAGAUGGUCCAAUUCCAAGAAAGUGAUUGAAAACUAGUUCAAGAAAGGUGCAAAAGGGAAUUGUUUUGGUAUUUUCGUUUUUAUUCUUGAAGGUGGCAGAGCUAAAAUUUGAGAAAUCAAGCAAAACAUACUGAAAUUACAUUGAAAGAAAGAAAAUGGGAGUUAAUGUCUUGCAGUACAUGAUAAGGACUUCAUGCAUGUAGUGUGACCCAUGUCUUGGACUGAUGCCACACUCACGGUUACACUUAUACCCUUAGUUCUCUCUUUACUACCUUAGCUAACCUAGAUCAGGUUAUGAGAUAGGCACCUCACCACACCAUUACUUGCCCAUUAAUUAGUGACAUUUUCAAGCAAUGAGGUAACAUGGUGACACCAAGAGGGUAUAUUCCUCACCCCCAACAAGCCUAGACCUGGUCUAAAAAAAAUGGAGAAAAAUGACGUGUUGUUAUGCAGAAAUAUAGCAACCAUGCCUUCCUCAUUACUUAGAUUCAGAAUGUGAAGGUGAAAUUGAGAAACAGAAACUCUUGAAACCAAAAUGAAAAUUGAUACUUUUACGAAGAAUUACAACAACAUUAGAGGAAGACUACAUUCUUCCUCUUUAUUCCUACAUUUCUACACUACUUCUACUCCACUCCAUAUUUCUACAUACAUCUUUAAUCAGUCUUCCCUCCUUUAUAUAGAGCCAUCUUCACACAAAUUCCGCAAGGUAGAAAAGAGGAAUGAAACUUGGAGCAAGGUUCGACUACUGGCUGUAGCUUGUCAAGGCUGAAAGUGAACUUUUUUUCUUGGCUUUUCUGGGCAUAGGUAGUAACUUGUAGGUUCCUUUUUGGAAUGAAAAUGGUACGGCUAGAACAUGUGGCACUCUCUUGUUGGAUGAUGUGUCAAGCAUGUGGCAGCCAUCUAGUGGAGAUUAUGUCAAUUUUGGGAUGGAGAGUUGGCAUCCAAUUGCAAAGAAAUAUGACAUCUACCAACAUGCAAUGUCAACCUAUGUAGAUCAUAUGAAGAUAGAGAGGAAAAAUAUAGAAAUGGAUAUAUAACUAGAACUAGCUUUUUAUUAAAUGAGACGGAGAGCCAACAAUGAAGGAAAAUCAAAAUUUUUGGCUCAUAUCAAAGAAUUCACAUUGUGUUACCCUAGGUUUUCUUAAAACUUACUUUUAUGAUAAUAAAAAAUCAUUAUUGUUUAAUCCUUUGUUUUAAACGCAUGUUUAGCAGGUUGUAAAAUGUAAAUAUCUUUCGAAAUUCAAAUAUGAAGAUAUGACAUCAUUUCAAGCAAUAUAGUCUCUAGGAAUUAAUGUAAAGCUAAAUUAAGGUGCAAUUAAGUUAGUUCAAUGCAUUAUUUUAAGAAACUUGACCUAUCAAAACCUUGUCUUACUUCAAAGCCUCUUUUUCUUUUCUUCCAACUAACAUUUUAAUAAGUGAUCGCAAAAGUACAAAAUUAGAUGAAAUCCAUUUCAAUGGUUAAAAUGAUCAAAUUCAAACUUUUUCUAAGUAUCUUUUAAAAGCAUCAAUAUUGAAAGACAAUUUUAUAUUUAGUCAAAGCUUGGACAGAGCCAAAAAGCACACAAAAAUUUAUAUUUUCUAGCUCUCUACCUUGGAUGGUCUCUUGAUCCUACUUGGAGAUGUGCAUAAAUAAAAGGAUUUGAAAAUGACAAUUGACUAAGUAUGUAGUCAAUCAAUUACUCAUUGAUUGACUAGUUGAUCAAUUAACUUUGCAACAUCAUAUGCAAUCCUAAUAGCUAGUCAUCUAAUCAACUAGGUAGUAAAUCAAUAGGCCAAAAAUAUGUUUAUAAUGACUAUUUUGUACAAAAACCACUUAUAUAGUUAAAUAUAAUGCAUUUCAUUUAUAAAUCUUCUAAUUCUUGAAUAACAAUCCUAUCAUCCUUUGAAAGUUUUUAUUACACCUUUUCUACAUUUGUUCUAAAACUUAUACAUCACCCUUAAUUGUACCAUGAGAACCUAGCAUUUUUUUUUUUUUUUUUGUAUUUCAUCAAAGUUAGCUCUUGUACUCAUUGUUGUAUUAUUUUUAUUGUAACUUAGAGAGCGAGUGUUUUCAAGUGAGUGAAAUUGACUUGUAAAUAUUGUAAAGAUUCAUUGAUAUGUAUCUCAAACUAGGUGUACAAGUUGAAACAUUUGCUAGUAGAUUUUCUCAAGAUUUAGAAUGAGCUUAAGGCUAUCGAAUUAGGUGGGGUUGCGCCAAACCAUAUCACAUCGUUGUUUGCACCUUUUUUUUCACUCUCUUUUACUUAGUUGCUCUAUAUAUAUUGUCUAGCAAUAUCCUAAAGGCUUGAUGGGCUAGGGAGCAUCCCUCUGAAUGAAAAAUUUUCAUUCAAUUCUUAGUUGUAUUACGCAUAUAUAAAAUGCCUCAUUGUUUUAAUGGUAUUCAGUCGUGGCACCACAGAUAUGGACAUCUAAAUUUUAAAAGUUUGAAACUUUUAGCUAAAGAAAAUAUGGUGCUUUGCCUUUUUGGAAAGCAUGUUGAUGAAAUCCAUGAGAAUUGUAUACUUGGAGAGCAACAUCGAGAUAACUUUUUUUUUUUCUUUUUUUAUAAUGCAUUGUUUGUCCAAAUUCCGUACAAAUUAGGCCACCACAUGUUCAUAAUUCUCCCUUCUUGAAUUUGAAAACUCGGACAAUUUGACAAUGCGACACCUAAGUCCGGUUUUUAAAUGCUAAAGUGAAAGGGCAGGUAUGGACCAUUGAAAUGUGAUAACAACUUUUGGCCUUUUCCUUUUCUCUGUAGCCAUGUUGUCUCUUUUUAAUUUCUUUUGCAUGAUUUUCUUACCUAAACAGAAUCAUAGACUUGUUUAAUCUCUAAGUGGGAUUUCAUCCACCUUAAGCUACUGUAUUAUAUCUCGGUGGAGGACAACCGACAUAGAGCACAUGCAAGUGGGUAUAUGGGACAUGAAAUAUCUUCUUAUAAAGCUUGUUUUGCAGUUAAAUUAAUUGGAUAAGUAGACACUGGCGUUUCUAAAUUUCCCACCUAAGAUAAUGACCUUAUCCUUGACUGCUAGAUACACAAACAAUUAUACCUUCAAAAUCUACUGUGAAGUGCUUCAUGUAUGUGUGAAGUAUUAGAAAUUUCUUUCUUGGCAACUUGUUUUUUUCUUUGCGGUCUACUGAUAGGUUUGACUAAAAUUAUAUUCCCUGUCCUGCUAAUUAAUUUUCACGUGCAUGCUCAAAAGAAGAGUAUGACCUUAGUGCACCAAAAUCACUUUCAAUAAUUUGUGAUAAGUUUUUUUGCAUGACAUUAACCUUAUUCAUUUAGAUAAUGUUUAGUUCUCAUAAAUAUUAAGAAAAUGAAAAUAAAUAUUAAGAAAAAUAUUCUUAUAUUUGAUUGUAUUAUGAAAAAUAUCAUAAAAAAUCAAAUAUAAUUAAAAUUAAUUAAUAAUUUAUAUAUUUUAAAAUUAUUUAAUUUUUAUAUUAAAGAUAUAAUAUAAAUGAAAUGAGUUUUAAGUAUUAUAUAAAAAUGAUUUAUUUAUUUAUUUAUAUAUAUAUAUAUAUAUAUAUUUAGUUUUUCUCUUUAUUUUAUUUUCCUUAUGUUUUCCUCACAUUUUCCGGAAUCAAAGAUAGGGAAAUCCACAAUUACCUUCAACUGAGUAGAUUCUAUUGUUUUAGCAAUGUUAGGCUGCUAACUUGUGGUGGUACGAACCAAAUGAUCCAUGUUAAUCUUGGCUUGAUUUAAUUUGGCUCUAUCUCAGAGAACUCAAGGAUCACGUCAACUCUGGUUUCUACUAUUCAGGUCCAUUCCCAGAUGAACUGGUUCAAAUUUGAGAAAAUGGUAACAGACCUUUAGUGAUAUUGGUUUGGAGCCAGUUGCCAAACCUGCCCUGAGCUUUACCACUAAUGUCAAGGGACAAAGCCAUUUGAACAAAAACAAUAGCUUCAAGAGACUGAAUCGUGGAUGAAAUCUGAUCCACAUUUCUUCUCAUUUUGGGAAAAAAUGAGGACUUAACCACAAAGAUUCUACUGCCUCAUAGUGCUUUUCCUGAUCUAAGGUUGGCUCGUUUCCCAAAUUGUGAGGUGCACGUGCCACUCUCACGCUCAGGAGUGUAUCCACGUGGUGGACAUAAGAUGGUGGCUUAAUAUCUGGUGUCGGUGGCUUUACUUUACUAGGAGAGUAGUGUGUCUUCAUCUCAUUCACUGCCAGAGGGUGGCGUAAGCAGUGACGCUAAGGUGGGGCACAGUCAAUAUCAUUUGCAUUUGACCAUUAUAAUUUUCUCCCGGCUUUAAAGUAACCUUAUCGUGAUAAUGGAUUACUAGCACUAGUUCAGAUGACAGUCAUGUUAAAUUCGGACCAUGUUUGUGUCACAUUAUCAGCAACCAUGUGCUUGUGGUUCAUGCUAUCUGCAACUAAACUUGAUAUAUAACCAGGUGAACUUCAAUCUAAAUUCUGGAAGUACUCAUGUGAUAGAUGGUGCCUGUCUGCAGUGAGUGUAUCUAUAAGAGGGAAGGCUUGGCAAAUGUUCAGUUUUCUGGGAAUUCAACAGGGAUCUAAAAUAGAUUGUUUUCUUUGCUGAUUUCAAUGGUUGAAAUUUGAGAAGAUUGUGUCCACAUAACACAACUAUUACUGGUCCUUCUGUUGCAAUUUAUCCUCUAAGGCUCUAACAUGUCUUCCAAUUCCCACUUCCCACUUCCCUGUUACUCCAGGAAAGCUGUUUCUGUCAUUGUGAAGAAGAAAAGAGACUGUACAUAUCGAUGCUUUUAAGUGGACUGGAGAAUUCAUAUCAGGUGGUCUGCAGCCAUACAUGCCACUUUGUGAAGGUUGGAACAGUCAAUCACUAGGCUAUAUUAGUGGGGCCCAGCCACUUCAAUCAAGGACAAGUCUUCAUACUUAAAGUCAAAUUCUGCCUUUAGUCUCAUUAUAAAUUGCUGUUUAAAUAUCAAGCAAACAUUUGUUUAAUGCGAUUAAGACAGCACUAACUCAAUACUUGUUCUAUUUUUGGAUGCAAAUGCUUGAUAGUUUCAUCAUUGGAGGGGAUAAAGGUGCAUUCAUGAUUAUGAAUACUUGUAGUUAUAUUUUCAUUCUCUUUUUUCUCAAUGGGACUUGUUGGCACAAUUUUGCUGUUCAGAAACCUACCUCUCCAUGGAAAAUCAGUUGUGAUUGAUAUUACUGGAUAUAUUCAAGAAAGCUAAAUGUAGAUAGCACAAAAUAUUAUCGACAUAAAUAGCAUUAACAGCGUACGUAUGUCUCAAUGCUCAUCAGCUAUAAGCAAGGGGCAAACACUUACUAUGAGCAACUUACGUCAAAAUUCCGGAAUAGGACAUAGAAGUGACAGGUCAGUAAAUAUAGAACACUGCAUAUGAGUCACAAGAAAGGAAAUUACGGGUACAUAGCAGCUCUUAUUUUACAUCCUACUCAUACUGAUCAAAGUCACUCAGUUGGGAUGGGUGGGAGUGGGAGGUUUGUGGGGUGGCUUGUGCGGAGGAGUUGGCAGCUUCUUUCCAGGACCUGGUUGCUUCUCUGCUGGAGUUGAAGGAGGCUUAAUCUUCCGAGGUGGCUUGUAUGAGUCUUCAGCAUUCUCAGCAGGAGGGUGACCAGGGUUGUGACCACAAUGUGGUGGCUUCUCUCCCUUAGGUGGUUUGCCAACUGGGGUUGGUGGCUUGUGUUCCGGAAGUGGCUUCUCUUUGUGUUCAGGAGGUGGCUUCUCCACUGGAGGCUUGUGUUCAGGAGGUGGCUUCUCCACCGGAGGCUUGUGUUCAGGAGGUGGCUUCUCCACCGGAGGCUUGUGUUCAGGAGGUGGCUUCUCCACCGGAGGCUUAUGCUCUGGUGGUGGCUUCUCCACCGGAGGCUUAUGCUCUGGUGGUGGCUUCUCCACCGGAGGCUUAUGCAAUGGUGGUGGCUUCUCCACCGGAGGCUUGUGUUCAGGAGGUGGCUUCUCUACCGGAGGCUUAUGCUCUGGUGGUGGCUUCUCCACCGGAGGCUUAUGCUCUGGUGGUGGCUUCUCCACCGGAGGCUUGUGUUCAGGAGGUGGCUUCUCCACCGGAGGCUUGUGUUCAGGAGGUGGCUUCUCCACCGGAGGCUUGUGCUCUGGUGGUGGCUUCUCCACCGGAGGCUUAUGCUCUGGUGGUGGCUUCUCCACCGGAGGCUUGUGUUCAGGAGGUGGCUUCUCCACCGGAGGCUUAUGCUCUGGUGGUGGCUUCUCCACCGGAGGCUUGUGUUCAGGAGGUGGCUUCUCCACCGGAGGCUUAUGCUCUGGUGGUGGCUUCUCCACAGGAGGCUUGUGUUCAGGAGGUGGCUUCUCCACCGGAGGCUUAUGCUCUGGUGGUGGCUUCUCGAAUGGGGGAUGCGUAGGGUAAUCAGCUAGUGAGGGGGCGGUGAGAACCACCAGGCCAAGCAACACUACUAGCAAGUAUGUAGGAGACAUCUUUGGGUUUGGGCUCAGAUGGUGCAAAACUAGGAGAAUUGGCUAGCCUUUUAUAGCGGAUCGUACCCAAUAAUGAAAUGACACGUGUCAUUAUGACCCAUGUGUCAUGUGGUCGAUUUGGGUCCUACAGUGUUGAAAACUUCGACAUCCACUUUUUUGGCCUUUUGCUUUCUCUACAGUCGCCUUGCUUUUUCCCUCUUUUCUUUUGUUUUCCUCCUGCCCCAUUCUAUCAACUAAUCACAAUUAUGUAGUUGUUUAAUUCUUAAAUGAGAUAUUAUCCGUCAAUCAUAUUAUCUUUUAUCAAGAGAGAACGGAGUGAAAAGUGGCAAUCCAAAGAAAGAAGAUCCAUAAUGCAGCUGUAAUUUUAUCGUUUACUUUUAUCUCUAGGACCACUGCAUUUUUGUUGAGAGGUGCAAUAAUACACGUCUUUAUCUGCCAUUCAAUGUUUACAGUAAAGAGAGGGCACAAAACUCUUCACUGCUCUGCAUGUGCCCCAAAAAUGCAAUUGGACAAAUUAUGAUUUGCAUGCUAAAAAGAGGCAAAUGAGGUUAAUUAGCACCAAAAUUAUUUUGUUUUCUGGACACCCCGGGGCCCUUUGGUUGGUUUGGGGGUCAGAAAAUGAACAUCAUAGGGGGUUUUUCCCUAAUGUGCAUUUGCAUUUGUAUCUGAUGGCUUUAACUCGCCUUGUUACUACAAAGAAAUUGUCACAGAUAGGAACUUAUUCCAGGCUGAGUAUCUCCGCAUGGACCCUAUAAAAGAAGACAAGUCAUAAUGAACAUCUAACCUUUGUUCAAUUUGAUUCAAUGCCCCUAUUGUGUCCAUCUCACAAAUCUGAAUUAUUAUAUCCAUUGAAUACAUAAAUUAAUGAAGAAAAUAUGAAACCCAAGAUACAUCUCUGCACAACCUCAACCCUGGUUGCUAUGUUUCACUUCUAUUCACAUGAGGAUAUUGAUUACGGAAUAAGGAAACCUAGCAAGGGUUUACUCGGCUCUGGUUUGAUGCUAAUUGCCAAACUUGCAACAAGCCCUGAGUUUGACACCUAAUCGAUGGGCGAAUUAAAAGUCUCCUCCAAACAUAUAUUCCACAGCUUGAAGCUCACAGAAGAUGCUAUACAGGCAGGGAAAAACCUUCAGAGUUAGCUACCAAAGAUAAUUAUCAAGGAGAUAUCACCAAGAGAAUUCCAUGGAGUCUGAAUCAAAGACAAAUUGCUCGCUCGUGGGGGUUCUUACUUAAUUUCUUUUGGGUAUAACUCACUGAGGGCACUGGCUUUGUUAUUUGCAUUUCGCAUUUAGAGUUCUGUUCUGGAAGGUUUGUUCUGGAAACAUAUAAAAGGAGCAUCAUUUUGUUCUAGGGUAACCCAUAGUUGUGAGUGGGUCCAUUUGCAUGCUACUUAGUUGAAAAGUUGGACAAUUUGCUCCGACGCCUACCUCCUGGAUUCCAUGCUCGGAUAAAGCAAGAAUAAUAAAAUAUUUAUAAUUUACAAAUGGGGGAAAGAAAAAAAUGUCAACAACAAACUAGGAAAAAAGAGUAGUAAAAUUUAUGCCACAUGCU
rnacentral:lncRNA from 1 species